CCAGGGGUGCCUAGUUAGGAAAAUUAAUUUAUGCAUUGAGUAAAAUUAUCUUUUGUUUAUAAUUUUAUAAUUGAGGAAAAGAGAGUGGCAAUUUUAUUUUUUUUAUUGGUAAUGAGAGUUUGAAAAUAAUAAGAACAGCGUAAAUUUUUGGGUUAACUACAUAAAAGUGCACAAUCUUUGAGGGUCAUUUCAAAUUAAUACCCAACUUUAAAAAUCUUCCAUGUAGAUACCUAACCUUAUAAAACACAUGCAAAUUAGACAUUUCGUUAGUUAGAUUGUUAGUCAAGCUGCUAAGUGCUGACGUGGACUUUCCCACGUGGUUUUUUUUUUAAUGAAGUGGACUCCACAUGGACAAAAUCAUUAACAAAAAAAUCUUUAUUUUUAAAUUAAUUAUAAAAAAUCAAAUAUAUAAACAAAAUAAAAUUAAAAAAGUAACAAAAAACAAACUAAAAAGCAAACAACUUGACUAACAGUCAGCACUUAACAACUUGACUAACAGUCUAAUUAACGAAGUGUCUAAUUUGCAUGUUUUUCUUGAUAUUGGGUAUCUACGUGCAAGAUUUUUAAGGUUGGAUGUUAAUUUGAAACGACCCCCCAAACGUUGAAUACUUUUAUCUAGUUAUAACCCUAAAUUUUAUAUUGGGACAAAAAGUUAUGACAAUUUUAAAACAAUAAUCUCUAUGGCUAGUGUGAGACUGAAAAUUUUUAUGGCAUGAGAGUUUGGUUUACAUGAUUGCAAUUAUAAUAUUUGGGUGGUGCACUCAUUGAAGUUCAAAAGAGUUUUGAGAAAUAUAAAAUAAAUAAAUUCAAGCGAGGAGAUUUCAACAAAAUUUAAUACCAAAAAAAAUUUAAUAAAUUAGGGGGCGUUUGGUAUCCUGUUCAAACAAGGAACUCAAAAACUUUGAUUUUUCUUAAAAACAAGGAGUUCUUAAAUCUAUUUUUAAGUUUCAAAAAUUUGUUUGGUAUACAAUUUGAAAACUGUUUUCAAAUCUUAAAAAUUUGAGAACUUGUGGGUUGUUAGAAAAAAAUACUAAAAAAACAGAUAUUUUUUGUUUUUAAUAAUUGAGUGUUUUUUAGUUGUUCUUGAGUUUAAGUUUUUAAAAAUAGGGCUACCAAACAGGUUUUCUUUGUUUUGGACUCAAAUUCUGUUUUUGAGUUUAAAAAGUUAGAUUCAAGUUAAAUACCAAACAGACCCUUAACAAUUCAUUGUGGACAAUUUAAGCCCGUUGGGGCCUCGCCGAAAUCUAGAUGGGAGGAUGCCCCAUGUGCAGAGGCGGUCCUACAGCCAGGGCAGGGUAGGCUACUGUCUACCCAAAAAAAUUUCACUAAAAAAAAAACUAUAUAUAAACAAAGUAAUUGAUACCCAUUACAUGUGAUGGUAUAAAUCCUUGCCUACCCAGCCCAUGUAAACCCCACACCACAGGUGUUAAAGCCCACUCAAACUUUAAAAAAAAAAGAGAAAAAAUUAUAACCAGCCCAUGUUAUGGAAUGGCCCGAUCAAACUUUAAUAGAAGGGGGAAUAUAACUUAUAAGCAGCCAAAUAGUGGUUGUGCAAUUCCAGACAGAGUCGGCAACUUCUUCUCAACUCAACAGUCUUGGCUGUGCAAUAGUCAAGCUGUGCAAUCGUGGACAGCCCCUUCUCUUCUCAUAUACAAGGAAACAAGUAUUCUUCUUAAUCUCUUCUCUUUAAUUAUCUUAUUCUAUUGGGUUAUUCCUAAAAUAAAUGUAUGCAUCUUAGUUUUAAUUUUAAUUUGAAAUUGAGUUUUCUAGGGUUUAAUUAGGAAUGAAAUAUAAUUUGGGGAUUUUUGUUGAAAUUAAUUAGGUCUUUGAUUUUAAGCAUUCUGUUGAGAUGUUUGAUUUGAUGUUGGCAUUGUUGAGAUGUUUGAUUUGUUGUUGGUAUGUUAUUGUUUGAUUAAAUUCAUUGAUGCAAUUAUGAGAAAUUGUUUGAUUUUUUGUUGGGAUGUUUGAUUAAAUAGGUUAUCUUUUAUUAUGUCGGAUCACAAUCGAAACCCCAAGAAAACAAAGAAUUUGUUCUCUUUUUUUAAGAAAAAGAAUGAUGGGUCAUCAUCUUUUAGAAUGCCUCCCAUUUGUGAUGAGCCAAAUCUUCUCUCUUCUCCCGUUGUCGAUCCUCAAGUUGAAAGAGUUGAGACUCAAAGAGUUGAUAGUGGUCAAGAUUUUAAUAUCAAUUAUCUUGAGCGUGAUUCGGGAUUACGUCGUCAAAUAUGCCAAUAUUCGGUGAAUGAACAAGAUAAUGUGCGAAAAGCCUAUAUUAUUUUAGGGCCUUGUUAACCAGAGUUAGAAGACUAUCCAAGCCAUUUAGAAUGGCGAGACUUACGUCGAUUUAAUAAAUUGUGGUUUGGUAAAUUCCCUUGGCUUGAGUAUUCAAUUGCUAAAGAUUUGGCAUUUUGUUUUCCUUGCUUACUAUUUGACAUGAAUUAUUCACAUUCAACCUUUACUAUUCAUGGAUUUCAAAAUUGGAAGAGAAUUGGUGGUAAUCAAUGUGUAUUUCAAAGUCAUGUAGGCAAACUAAAUUUUCCACAUCAUCUUGCUAUGCAGAAGUGGGUUAGCUUAAAAAACUCAUCUCUUCAUAUUGAAAAUGUAGUAGAUAAGCAAUCAAAGCAACAAGUGAUGGACAAUCGGUUGCGACUUAGAACCAUAAUAGAGGGCAUUCGGUAUCUAACAAAUCAAGCAUUGGCUUUUCGAGGUCACGAUGAAUCCGUUGACUUAUCUAACCGGGGCAAUUUCGUUGAAAUCUUAAAGUCUUUUGCAAGAAUGAAUAUAAAAGUUGAGAAAGUUGUUCUAGAUAAGGCUCCUCAUAAUGCUCAGUAUAUUGCUCAUGAUAUACAAAAACAGAUCUUGCAUAUUUUUGCUACCAAGGUGAAGAAGAAAAUUUGUACCGAACUUGGGAAGAACAAAUAUUGUAUUCCUGUUGAUGAAUCACUUGAUGAAUCAGGCAAGGAACAAAUGGCUAUUAUUCUAAGAUUUGUUGAUUGUGAUGGAUUUAUUCGUGAAUGCUUUUUUGAUAUUGUGAGUGUCGUAGACACUAAUGCCUUGACUCUUAAACAAGAGAUAUGCAAAGUGCUUGAUAAUAACGGCAUUCUAGUGGAAAACAUGCGUGGCCAAGGGUAUGAUGGUGCUAGUAAUAUGCGUGGUUCAUGGAAUAGAUUACAAGCAUUGUUUCUUCAAGAUUGUCCAUAUGCAUAUUAUGUGCAUUGCUUUGCUCAUUGCUUGCAAUUAGCAUUAAAUGGUGUGGCUAAAGAUGUGAAGGUUGUAUGGAGAUUUUUUUCAAUAUUGACUAACAUUGUGAAUUUUGUUAGUGCUUAUGCUAAGCGCCGUAAUGAGUUAAAUUUAAUUUCAAAAAGCUGAACUCAAAGAAUUGUUGGAUUCUGGGGAACUUGAGACAAGUAGAGGACUUAAUCAAGGUCGUAGUUUGAAACAAGCUGGAGCCACUCAUUGGGGAUCUCACUUUGCCUCUAUUACAAGUUUAAUGAGUUUAUUUAAAGAGACUAAAAUACUUCUUCAAGAAUUCAGUGAACAUGGACCUAACCAACAAUUUCGUGGUGAUGCAGAGAGUAACUAUAUUGCUAUGAUGUCUUUUGAGUUUGUGUUUGCAUUGCUUUUGAUGGAUAAAAUUAUGGGAUUGAUCAACUUUCUCUGUCAAGUGUUUCAGAAAAAAAAACUCAAGAUAUUGUAAGUGCUAAACUUUGUUGAAAACACAAAAUCACAGUUCCAAGAUACAAGGGCACAUGGCUGGGAUGAUUUAUUCAUGAGUGUGGUAUCAUUUUGUGAACAACAUGGUAUUGAUGUUCCUGAUAUGAGUUCUCAUUAUAUGAUGGGCACACGUCGUUUUUGUCAACAAAAAGAUUUUAUUACAGUUGAACAUUACUAUCGCAUUGAUGUAUUUAAUGAUAUGAUAGAUUGCAUGUUGAGGGAGUUAAAUGACAGAUUUCCAGAUCAAACAGUUGAACUUCUUAUUCUUAGCUCAGCAUUGGAUCCUCGUAAUUCCUUUAAAUCAUUCAAUAUUAGGCAUCUAUGUAAACUUGUUGAGAAAUUCUAUCACGCUGAUUUCAGUCCAAGUGACUUAAAAGGUUUGGAAAUUGAGUUGAGGUAUUUUCAAAAUGAUAUGCAUUGUCUUCCCUGCUUUAAGGACCUCACCACUCUUCCUCAGUUAUGUCAACAAUUGGUGGAAACAACUUUGGCAGAAAAUUAUCAUUUGCUUUACAGGUUGAUUCAGUUGGUGUUGACUCUUCCAGUUUCUACAGCAACAACGGAACAAGCUUUUUCAUGUAUGAGAAUUAUUAAGAAUAGACUUCGAAGCACCAUAGUUGAUGAAUUCUUUGCUAAUUGCAUGAUUCUCCACAUUGAAAGAGAGUUUGCUAAUAGUAUCGAUAAUGAAGAGAUAAUUGAGGAAUUUAAGAUUUCUAAGCUUCGUAGGGUACAAUUUUAGAUUAAAUAGUUUAGUUUUUGUGUUGCAUUGCAUUUACUUCUUUUUUUUUUUUUUUUUUGUUAAGCUUUUAUUUAUGUAUAGAUAUGCAUAUUUGAGGGUAAGACUCAUUACGUCCCCCUGACUAGGUGUAUCUUUUUAUUUUUAUGAAUGAAUAAAAUUCACUCGUACCGUCGAGUUUUUAAGGUAAAUUUCGCCUACCUGACUUUUGAAUCCUGGAUCCGCCACUGCCCAUGUGAAAUCCAGGUAAACAUUACAGAAUAAGUAAUUUGUUAAUUCCAAACAUGAAAGAAAAAACUUAUCUUCUUUCUUUUGGCAGUGAUAUUCUAGCCUAAAGUUGAUAAGGCCCAGUCUUUUUAGUAUAUACCAUGCAUACAUGACAUUAUUCUUCUCUCAUGGAUUAUUAUUGUUCCUCAGGCACACUAAGCAUCUGCAUCAUGCACCAUGUUUGCCAAGGAAGGCAAUGAUUAGCUGAUUAACUUGCUCCGGAAAUUGUUCAUGCAUAAAAUGAGUCCCUUCCUCAAUGAAUUUAACAUCCAAAUCGGGCACAAGAUGCUUCAUUGCCCCCAUCCGUAUGUAGUUGUUCACUCCCGGCAUCUUUAAGCUGUAGUCCUUCUCACCCACGAUAAGCAGUGAUGGAGCUGACACUUUCGGAUCAAUUAAGCUGCGAUCCACUUUUAGUUUUCUGCACCAUUGAGGAAAAGUCUAAUGAAAAUUAUUUAGUUCGACUAGCUAGGAUCAUCCGAAUUGAGUACUUCAUUCACUUUUAUGGUCUUAAUUUAUUUUACCUACCUAUAGGGAACUUGCAGUGCAAAACAGAAUCCAGAUUUCUCAUAUAAAGAUGCAUAGACAGAGAGAUCUUCCUCGGAAAACCAUGGUGGCAGAGGAGUAGCAGGGUCAAUCAAGUCCAUGAUUUCUUGAUCAGCAGCAGCUAUUGGGAUCUCACUUCUAGAGAAGAGAAUAUAGAUGUUCCUUAUCACUGUCUUCACAUCAAAGCGGCCAAAAUCUAAUUCUGCCCGCCCCGGCUCCUAUAAUUAGGCAAGAAAUUAUUGCCUCAUUUUGCUACUAGUGCGCUUUUGUAGAAAACACUUUUGCUCAUAAGCGCGGAUUUCAGAUAUAUAUACCUGCCACCUUGAUAUGUAGAAACCUUCUGGGAGGAGAUGAUUUUGGACAACAGAGGGACCCGGUUGAAUGAAAGGUGUUCCUAGUGUUAUGAUUGCACAUACCCGCUCUGGGUGAAGGACACCUACUCGGUAUGCAGACAGAGCUCCAAAAUCCUUCCCUACAAUAAAAGCCUGGUACAGAUAAUCAAGGUUGAACUUUGAGUUCUUGUACUAAAUAAUUAUAGUGUUGAAAAUGGUUUAUAUAUAGGAAAAAUAGGAUGAAAGUGAACUAUGAUAUGCUUUUUUUCUUUUAUUUUCCCCGUGGUUCGAUUCAAUCAUUCUUGGCUAUUUGUCAGGUAAGAUCAACCCUAAAGCCUCACAUAGAUAAAAGAUCUGGGAUUCUAGGUAGAGCCAUUGGGACUUAAAGCUAAGGAAACAAAUGGGAAAGGAACUAAUGCAUUUAAGGAUCUGUAAACUCAUGUCUUAAUCAAACAAAACUAACAGUUUACUUGGACCAGGUAAUUAGGACCAAAGGGCCAAAAGCAAUCAAACAAUACCAAGAAGAAAAUAGCCAUGGUCCUGAGAGAGAGGGGAUGCAGUGGUCUGCAACAACUAAAUGUACAAAAAUUUGCGGUCUAUAAAACUUGAUAUAAUUAAAAUGAGGAAUGUAACUUUGCUUUUGGGAAACAACAAUUUUCUUUUGAGAACCUACACUUACUUCAAAUGUUGUCUAUUACCCUAGUAUGAAAUUACCAUUAACGACAAAAACAUUUUCCGGCAGAGCAUUUUCAGUGAACCAAGUUCGAACGCAAACGUAAUAGCUCAACUUCAUUUAAAAAUAAAAAAAAUAAAAAACUCACAAAUCCACCAUAGACUAACUAUGGCACAUUUGGUGGCUCAGUUUGGAUUGGAUUGAAAUUGAGUCCAAACCGACCUUAUGAGUCCCACCGCUUUAGGUGAGACUUAUAAGACACAUUAUAUUGGACUGUUAUCCAUUUUAACAAGUCCAGUCCCAGUUCGCCAAACAACGGCCAUAACUCUUGUCCAUUUUAAUUUAUAUAGUCAAUCUACUCCCUCCCACCAAACAUAGUUACAAGUCCAUUAUAACGCAUCAAAUUGAUCAGAUUCGACAACAAAACAUAAGGCCAAAAAUUAAAAUUAAUCAAUCCAAAGUACAUCAUUUGAAAUACAUUUUCUCAAAUUGGUUUCGUUGGGUGUAGUGAGGAAUUAAUGAGAAGUUGGAUUGUGGGUUCUUCAUGACUGAGGGUAUUUUAGAAAGUUACAGUUGGUGAUCAAGAGAGUACAGUGUCUUCUACUAAAAUAAUAUGUGGGUGUAAUGAUGUUUGGUCCCGAUAAAUUUUCCUAGGAUAACUCGCUAUGAGAAGAAAGUCCCCCGCUAAAAAUGGAGAAGGUCCAAAGAAGAAAGUUAGAUAUAACGUUGCUAGCAUUCCUCUUAAAAGAUUGCAUAAGAAGGUAAAGUGAGGAAAAAAGAAGGGUGCUUGAUUCCUAGAAUAAUCAAUUUGCCAAAAGAAAAUUCAAUUUAUUCUUAAUCAAGAGUUUUGCUGUGAGCUGUUGAACUGUCGCUAGCUAUUUACUAAUACAUUAACACCAUUAAUCUAACCAAACGUGUAAUCACCUCUAAUCUACUCAACAAGCAUAUUCUUUUCUUUUUCUUGAAGAGUAAACAAAGGUGAAUUCGAUGUCAAAGUAAUUGUAUUUUCUCUUCCACUCCAAUGAUCCAAUCAACAAAGUCGGAACAACACUUCAGCCUUAAGUUUUCGUCCCCCGGGCAAAAAGUUAUUUUUGGUCCCUAUAAUUAUUUUUUAUUUGUGUCAAAUUUAAAAUCACAUGAAUAAAAUUGACAAAACUGAAACGACAUGGUCUAAAGUGAUAUAACCGGCAAACUACACAGGUACUAAACGUGACUUUUUGCCUAACUAAUAAGUUAAUAACAUUGGUUUUUAGCAAAGAGUAGCGUAAUUAGCGGGUUAAUUAAUUAAUAUUACCUUGUCAAUGCCCAAAGAAUCUAAAAGAGCAACAGCAUCGUCAACAAGAUCGAGCAAGGUUGCCUUUUCGGGUUCAGCUGGCUGCUCCGAAAGUCCAUAGCCCCUGUGAUCAAAGGCUAUUGCUCUAUACCCCUUGUUUGCCACAGCAACCAUUUGAUGCCUCCAUGUGUACCAGAUUUCCGGAAACCCAUGGAAGAAAAGCACCACCUUUGGACCUGAACAAAUAAUUCAUGUCAAAACAGGGAAAGAAUUAAGAAACUGUGAGGUGAAUAUUUAUUUAUCUUAGCUUUUUUUUUUUUAAUUGGUAUGAGAAAUAUUGGAUCGUACGUACCGCUUCCGAUUUCAGCUACAUGAAGCUUUAGUUCUCUCACUUGCACAUUUGUGUGCUGAAUUUUUUCCAUGAGGGCGAGAAGAUUGAAGGGAGAAUGGGAGAAAGAUGAAACAGAGGAGGAGAGAUGAGGGGGAAGAGGAGAGAAUAAAUUCAGUGUGUAGAUACAGUUUUGCUUUCCAGUUGUAGUGUUGUACUACCACUUGGCACUUGCCAGGUGGUGGUGUGCACUUAUAGUAUGACGCCAGCUGGACAACAGCUAUUAAUAUUGGCGCCUAAAAACUGCAACUUUCCACCUCACCGUCAAAAGUUGUGCAAGUUUGUCCUUUUUUUCUUUUUUCCUUUUUUCUCCUCUUGGAAUCUCUCAGAGAAGCCAUGUGUUUUCGUUCGAUCCACUGGGUAUUGUUCUUAUAUCAACUACCAUAAUUUCUUUUCUUUUUUGGUCAAGAACUAUCAUAAUUUCUUGACACCAAAAAAAUCAUCAAAAUCUCUUUUGGGUUGUUAAUUAUAAAUAAACCUCACAUAAAAUCGAUAAACACCUAUUUAACAAAAUCGAUUUUUUUAUUAGGCACGAUAGUCUGAAUUUACAGAGAGGAGAUUGAAACUUGGUUGCAAUAGAGCAAGUUCACUGGUCUAACCCAAGUCAAUAUAACUUGUACAUAUGUUAUAAUAUGAGUGAACGAUAAAGUUCAUAUUUAGUAAAGUCAGGCCGAACAAGCAUCCAAUGGAUGUUCCCAAUUUUUCCCACUCGUGCCCUAAAAAUCAUAUCAUAGUUUUUGUCUCUGUGGAAAAUCACAUGAUAAUUUUAAUUGGUGGAUGACAUUUUUCCCACUCCUGCCCUAAAAAUCAAAUCAUAGUUUUUGUCUUUGUGGAAAAUCACAUGAUAAUUUUAAUUGGUGGAUGACAUUUUUCCCACUCCUGCCCUAAAAUUGCAGGGAAAGAAUGGCCUAGCAAAGAAGCAUAGCAACCAGAACCAGCUCAUAACCCUAAAUCUACAUACAAUAAGACUGUUUAAGAGAUACCAUCUAGGGUUGAGGGCCGACAUUCUCGCUUCUAUACCCAAAAGCUUAAGAGAUAACCAUAAAACUAGUAUCAUUUAUAAGUAUUAAUAUUGUUCAGUGAUCUGAAAUAUUAUGCAGCUAGAUAAUAAUGAUCGUGAACAAAUGAAUUUGAUUCCGCUUUCUAAUAGUUGUAAACGUAAUACAAGUAUCUCAUUGUGAAACCUAUAAGGCAACUCAAGAGAUAGCUCUUAACUUGACAAGAACGCAACUCAAACAUUUAAUGUGCUCCCUUUGGUAUCUACCUUAUUUAUUUGGCUGAAGAGAACUAUCUGUACAAGCGCAAGGUUCUCUUCAGAAAUCCACAUCCUGCAAGCUCAUACUCAAGAUAGUCCCAUCAGUGACGUGAAUGCUAUGAAUUAUGAAUUGUUUGUAUCCUCUUUCAAACCAAUUGAACGGUAGUAAGAACUGGAAGGUUUCUGUUCAUCGAACGAGCUUUCCUGAUCAAUCAUCCUUUCUGCACAAGAUGCUCAACAUCUCCUAGUUCCACUUGACCCCCUUCCCCUUGCCAUUGUUCAGUCUGAAAAAGCAACUCGAUCUGCUCCAAUGACUUUCCUUUGGUUUCUGGAACAAAGAUGUAGACAAAUGCAACUGAAACAGCCGAAACUACAGAAAAGAUCAAGAAUGUUCCACCAAAUGAAAUUGCAUUCGAAACUGAGAGAAAAGACAUGGCAACUAGGCCACUGCACACCCUAUUGCCCACCGCCCCGAGUGCUCCUGCCUGAGCACGCAGCCUUAGAGGAAAGAUUUCGGAUGUCAAAACCCAGCAAACAGGACCAAUUCCAACUGAGAAGAAGGCUACGUUCCCGCAAACUGACAAAAUUGCCAUUGCAAUCCCAAUCUGCCCUUUCCCAAGAAAAGUGAGAGUAAAGGCCAAACUGAAUAAACAAGCAGUCAUUCCAAUAGUGCUGACAUAAAGCAAGGGCUUUCUUCCAAUCUUGUCAAUAAGGAGAAUAGCAACCAUUAUAAAUACAGUCUUUGUGACACCCACAGCAACAGUUGCAGCAAGUAGAUUUGUUUUAUCCUCAAUUCCAGCUUCUCUGAAGAUUUCAGGGCUGUAAUACACAGUCGCGUCUAUUCCUGUUAUCUGUUGGAAACACUGAAUUCCAAACCCAGUGAUAAGCAUUCGACGAAGUGCAGGAGAUGGACUCAACAGUUCACGUGUCACACUUUUCUCCUCAUAUUUCCCUCCACUGGACGUGUCAGCAGCUACUAGUAUUUCAUUAAGUCUGUCCUCCACCUCACUUUCAUUUUCAUUUGUUUUCAACAACACUGAUCUUGCCUCAUCAACACGGUUCUGAAUGACCAACCACCUUGGGGACUCGGGGAUUAUGAAAAGUGCAAAACCAAUGAACACUGAAGGCAGAAUUCCUACUCCAAGCAUUAUCCUCCAGUUUAUAUGUGCUGGAAGACCAGAAAAUGCAUAGUUUGAAACGUAGCCUAGUAAAAUUCCAAGAUUUAUAAAAAUUUCAGGGAAGGAGGUCAGUGAGCCUCUGGCAAUGGUGGGUGAUAUCUCAGCAAUGUAAACAGGGGCAAUCAUGACACCGAAGCCAAUUCCAAUGCCGGCCAGGAGUCUUCCAAUCAUCAGUAUUUCAAAUGAAGGAGCAAAUACCAUUACACCUGCACCAGCUUGAAAGACAACAGCAGCCAAGGCCAUGGUCCACUUUCUACCAAUCAUAUCGGAUGUUUUACCACCAGCUAAACUACCGAAGAGCGAAACAAUACUCAGAAUCCCAACAAGUACUUCUUCUUGUACCUCGGUUAUCUUUAAAUCUUCUUGAAUGAAUAUGAUCGCUCCACUCAUGACACCUACAUCUGCCAAUUGAGAAAAUUCAAACACUUAUCUUCAGAUUCAGAUUGAUAAAACAAAAAAGGGGGCACAUUUAGAACAAGUAUAAACCUGAUUAAUUUUCUUUACUGAAAGUGAUCAAGGCGUUAUUUGCAAACAGCAUUAAACAUAUAGCCAAAGUUCCUCUGUAGGGGGGGAAUAUUUAUCAAAGAUACCAAAUAUGAGCAAAAAUAAACACAAAGUGUUCCUAAUGUUGGAAGAAAACUGGAUGAUCCACAUUUUCUCCAAUAAGUAUUGCAUCACUUGAAAGCAUAACUAUACAUAACUAAACCUUUCACUUCAUGGCGGAGGGAUACAUUUUGCUCUAAAAUCACUCAGAAACAUAAAUAAUAAUAUAAAAAACUAGCUCCUUGAUCUUUUACUUCCAAUGAUAUGAACUGCUAUCCCGGAAAAAUAAAAGGCAAAUGGUUUAUUUCACUUUAGGUACCUGAACUUUGACGUGUCCAAUUCAGUACCUAAACUUUAAUUUGUCCCAUUUUAUACCCUAAAUUAAUUUUUUGGGUCUAACAAGUACCAAAUCAAACUUAGUUUGAAUAAUAAAUAGAUAUCAUGGAAAAUUUUGGCACUUGCACAUUGUAAGUCCUAUAUGAACACAAAAUUGCCAAUGAGAUGUGAAAUUUUUUUCAAUAAAAUUUGAUUUCAUACGUAUUAGAUCCAAAUAAUUAAUUUGGGGAUUAAAUAUUGGACAUUAUAGUUGAGCACUAAAAUCGAAAAAAAAAAAAAAAACCAGAAAAGAAGAAAGAAACAGUAUUUGGAACGCUCAACAGGCUGAAUUUGGAUUGGAUGUCUUGUAUACAAUUCCCAGUUUACUUUCCUUUGCUGCUAAAUUAGACAAUCCAAUAAAGCACAUAGGAUUAUUAGCAAGUUUUGGUAUUAAUCAGAAAGGAAUAAGAGAUUCUUUAAGCAAUUAAGCACAACAAUUAACUACGCAAAGCAGAUCAUAAAAUGCCACCGACAAACAGCAACAAACUUAUAACAUACAAGGCUCACCAUUUUCACACACAAACAAACAUAAAAAAAUAUUCAGGCAUACAUACAUUUACAGAUACAUCCAUUAACACAUCCUACAUAAUAAGGGCCUUAAAAACUGAAAAGUAAUAAAGAAAAUCAUGUACCAUAGCCAAGAAGAACAGAGUUGAGAGAAGCAAAAAUGGCACAAGCAAGGACAUAUUUCCUGGUUUUUUUGCUCCUUUUUUCUUGUAGCUGGUGCUGUGAAGCAUCUUCAUCUUCAUCUGGGAGCUGAGAAUCCAUCCUCUUGUAUUUGUUCUUGGUUCCCAAUGCAACACUAGACAAACCCAUUUCUCCAUUUCCAGUUUCUCCAACACCCACCAACCCCAUCUCACUUUUCUCUGUAGAUCUCUCUGUAAAUCUCUCUGUUUCCAAUCAUAAAACUGAAGAACAGGAGCAGACCCGGAUGGUUGUUUUUGGGGGUUUGGUUUUUGUUUGACUGCCGAAUACUUUAGACUAUUAGAGACCGUGUAUAUGUUGUAGAUCUGAAACAAAGACAGGAGAAUGAGAAAAAAAAAAUAUUUCAGCAGGCAAGUGGGGACCCUUUCUUUUUGUCAAGCAAGAAACCCACUUGAGAUUUUUACAUGUGCAAAGGAUUUAACGUCACAAGACCUCGACCUCUUACUUAAUUGGCUCAAAUGGCGCUUUCUAGGUAACAGCUGUGGAGCUGUCUGUAAAAGAAAAUAUGAGACCUUUUUUUCCACAUUAUUUAUGUACAAGCUGUUAUAAAGAAAUGAAGCCCACAUAGAUAAAGCUAUAGGGCAUUAGUCAAAAGAUAGAGAUAUAAUUAGAGGGUAUUAGUUAAAAGAUGGGAUAAUGAUGUUGGGGAGAAAUCAUUAUGUCUCCCUUAAAGGCCAUUUGCUUUGCCUAUAAAUAAACAUUAUAUUUGCUUGUAAACAUACGAAAGAGAAGAAGAGAAAGAGUAAGAGUCAGAGAGAAGAGAAAGAGUGGAGUCUAUCUGAGGAGAAAUUCUGCCAGUGUAAACACCACAAAGAGAAAUAUAAUUACACUCCCAAUAUUACAGUGGUACUUCUCAUCCUCUGACUACUCUAGUUUUAUAACACAAGCAUCCUUUUUAUGUUUUUUUUUUCUAAAUGAAAGAAAAGUUUGGGGGGAGAAUUGCGUAAAUUUUCGGUUUACUUUUUAUUUAUACAUUGGUAAAUUUUCUUUAAUUUUUGUGUUUAGAUGUAAAGAUUGUGUUGAAAAGAAUAGUCGUACCCAAAGAACAAUGGUGAGUUUGUCUUAAAUAUCUUGGAAGAAAAAAAAAGGGGGUUUGGACUUUGGAGGAGUCGUCAAUGGAGAAUGAGUCAAAAGUGUAUGUUACGCGUGAGAAGGUUAUAGGAUUAUUUGCUUCCAUGUCUCCUCAUAAGUUGGGAAUUUCUAUUUAUGAUAAUAAAUUCUUUGAAUUUCUUUGUGUAUGUGUGUCUACGAGACAAGACAAGACAAUAUUCAUAUAGAUUUUUUUAUUCUUUUUAAAAGACAUGGCAAUAUUCAUAGAUUGUAUAUAUUUUAAGUGGCUUAGUGGCAUGCGCUUCUCUUGGGGUAAAAGAGUUUAAGUAUGAGACCUCUCUCUCUCUCUUUAAAUGAUAGGACGAAAAGGAUCCAGAGUGGGCUUCUAGAUCUAUUUAUUUUGUGGCUUACUAUUAUCUUUUAGAAAAAGAUAAAUUGAGCAAAGAAUUCAUUAGUGUAAUGGUUUUGAUCAAUUAAUUCUUCGUAAAAUGUUCUGGAUUCGAGUCAUAGCAUCUAUGUAAUGUGUGUGAGUUUAGUAUGCUAUCACCCCUCUCAAUAAAAAAUGUAUUUUAAAAUAUAUAAAAAAUCAAACCCAACCCCCCAGAAUCGGCGUUGUUGCACUUUCACUACCACCCCCGACCUCCCUUAUUUUUGUAUUGGGGAAUGAUGGACUUGUUGACGUGAGUAUCCUAAUUAAUCAAAGAGAUUUACUUCCUUGAUUAAUUAAGGGAUUUACUUUCCUAUUUUUUAUAUAAGUGAUAAAUCAUUGUACAAUUAGGAGAUACUUUCCUAAUUCUUUGCUAUAUCUAAUUCCUUGUAAAACCUUCAUAUGUAAACUCCUAUUUAUACCUCCUUAUGGAGAAGAAUAAAGAACAACCUAAGAUAUUCAAACCAUAUUCAUAUUUUAGCAUGGUAUUAGAGCAAUCGAUCAUCGGUUGUCUCUAAAUCCUCAUAUCAAAUUUCUUCAAACACAAACCCUAAAUCCUCAUAUCAAACUUCUUCAAACAGAAACCCUAAAAUCAUAUUCCUCAAAUUCCUCAUAUUUCUCCAAAUUCAUAUUUCUCUUUACCAAAUUCAGAUCUCCAUCCACAUCCCUCAUAUCUUCAAAUUCCCAAAAACAUAUUUUUUUUACCUUUAAAAUUCUUCCGCUGCCAUGGAUGUCAUCUCCUCUUCAAACACCACCGACACCAUUCCACCAUCCUCCCAAAUUGUUACUAUCCACAGUGACAACGCUCCUUUCCCAAAUAGCGUCACCUUGCCUGAAACCAAUUAUGCCUUAUGGUCUCAAGUCAUGGAGAUGCGUAUUGCUACUCCAUGCAAGAAUAGAGGCAAAUCACUCGACACAUCUUCUGACUCAGCUCCUGUUAGUCAUGCAGUUCCAAUGGCACCAGCUCCUGCCUCUGCCUCUGUAACCACAACAGGACAUCCUCAGCUAGGGGUGGGUUCGGUCCGGUUCUCACCUCAAAUCGGAACCGAAAUCGGUAUUAUUUAACCGGUCCAGUUCGGUCCGGUUUAGGCAAAAAAAAUUUCAAAAACUAGCCGGUUCGGUUCUAACCAGUUCCGGUCCGGUUCUGACCGGUUCCGGUUUUGAACCGAAUUAUUAAUUUAUUAUUUUUUUAAAUUUUUUUUAAUUUUUUAAAUAAAAAAAUUAUAAUAAAAAACUUAUUUUUUUAGCUUAAAAAUGAACAAAUAAUCCAAUUCAUACAUUUAGAAAUUUUUUGAAGUUGAACUUGAAAAAUUAGUGAUUAUAAAAGUUAAAAAAUGGCAUUAGAUUUUAAAAUUUUGUAAAAAUAUAAAUAUAAAAUAUAUGACCGGUCCGGUUCGGUCCGGUCCGGUGCGGAGAGAUGUAAAACCAGAACCGGAACCGGUUGGAACCGGUUCGGUCCAGUUCCGGUCCGGUUUGUUGACUUUUUUGGUCAACCGGUUUUUUUUUCGAUUUUUUUUCACCGGUUCAGUUCGGUGUUCCGGUUUUCCGGUCCCGAUGCCCACCCCUAUCCUCAGCAGCAAGACGAUUGGUUGUAGUACUAGGAGGGGCAAACUCUACCCAAAAAAAAACGAGUGAAAGAGAUAUGUUUAUUGACGUAUCCCAAGAAGAUGUUGCUUAUUUCUUGACUCUGACGACCCCUUCUCUUCAAGGGGAGAAGGGGAGUGAAGAGAAGUUGUUUUGUCUCUAAACCCUUAUCUCAAAUUUCUCAAAUUUCUUCAAAUUUCUCAUAUUCAAAUCCAAAACCUUAAAUCAAAUUCCUCAUUUUUUUCCCCAAAUAUAAAUCCCUCAAAUCCUCUUAUCCAAUCCCUAAACACAUACCAUCAAAUCUUAUACACAUACCUCUUAAAUCUAAUUCCUACAUCAAAUUUCUCACAUCACCUUCCUCACCUUCUCAUAUCACGUCUUACUUCUGCUGCGAUGUCAAGAACUCAUACGAUUCUCUAUCUUAUUGCAGACUCACAGAAGUAUACGGUCAACCCAGACUCCUUCUUCUAUCACCACCACCAAAGGUUCUACUCUUCAUACGUCCUCCAAGAUCAGAUAUUGCAUAUGCUGUGAGUGUAGAAGAGUAUUUCAUGACUGACUUACCAAGUUGGGCAUUCGUGACAUAUAUGCACCAACUUGAGGAGGAGUGUUGACGUGAGUCUCCUAAUUAAUCAAGGAGAUCUACUUCCUUGAUUAAUUAAGGGAUUUACUUUCGUAUUUUUUAUAUAAGUGAUAAAUCAUUGUACAAUUAGGAGAUAUUUUCCUAAUUCUUUACUAUAUCUAAUUCCUUGUAAAACCUUCAUAUGUAAACUCCUAUAUAUACCUCCUUAUGAAGAAGAAUAAAGAACAACCUAAGAUAUUCAAACCGUAUUCAUAUUUUAGCAGGACUCCCCUGCUCUCCAAGUGUAUACAUUUUCAAAAGGCUAGAGGUCCUAAAGUGCUCUACUACUGGGACGUUAGUUCUAUUGCUUUAUGGUGUUUCGACUAUUGCUACUUUUCAGUCUUUCAUAUUGUUAUGUUUGUUUGUUUGUAGCACUUUGUUGCUUGAGUUCUUUCUCUUAGAGAAGUUUUAGUGUGUUGUAUGUUCUUCCCCUUUAUGUUGCUUGUUGCUGCAACCUUUCUAGCUUUUUAAUGCAAGCAUAUUUUCGAACAAAAAAAGAAAAAGAAAAAGGGGGAACAUGCAUGUACUUUAGCUUUUCAACUCUAUAAUUUAGGUUUUGAUUUCUACUUGAAUUGGCUAAUGAAUUGGAUUUGUGCAAACUUUUUUUGUCAAAAUUCUUUCUGGAUUGCGAUUCCUUUCUGAAUUGGGUGUUGAUUUGGUCAUUUUAUGUGUUUUCUGGGUAUGUGAAUUAUGUUGUUUUACUGUGACAAAUUUUCUGGGUUGGUUUCUACAAGUUAUGGGGUUGUGUUGAUAGAAAAGAAAAAGGAGGUUGUGACAAAGAGAAGACAAUAGAAAGAAAGGAAGAGAUGGGUAGGGCCACCGGUGACCAAUGCAGGUGGCGAGAGGAGGGUGGCAACGGUGGGUGCUGGGUUUGGUUUUUCUUUUUUCUUUUUUUUUUCUUUUUUGAAUUUUGAAUUUUUUUUAUUUUUAUUAUAAGGGCGAAAUUAAAAUUUAGGUUGUUAAAACAAUAUGGUGAUUAUCAUAAAAUACAACAAAAUUUAUAAUUGUUGAUGUGUCAUGUUAUAGGUCAUUAGAUUAUAACGACAACUAAGAUCAAGCGAAUUGCGAGAACAUGAGUAAAUUUUAAAUGCAAGGGCUCAGGAUCCGUCAUUGGGCAUGAUUAGCCAGGUGACAUUAAACCAAGCAUUGACCCUGCUGAUUCUUCUUUAUUUGGCCAAUGAUGCGUGACCCAAAUUCUCAAUUACCUUCGAAAAGGAAGUGUCCUUGUUGAUGGCUUGAUGCAGAAUGCAUAGGACCUAAAUUGAUUAGUUUCCUAGAUUCUCUAGUCUUCCAAAUUCUAGUAGGAUUUUUAUUUUAUUCAGGGUUAGGAUUUUUGUUUUAGCAAGGAAUUUUUAUCCUAUUAUCUCUAGGUUUUAGUUUGCUAUAAAUACCCCAUGUUCUUUAAAAUUCAUAUUUGAAGAUUUGUAGUUCUUUUUUAUAUUCUUUUUUGUUCUAUUGUUUCUAUCCUUUCUUUCGCCUUUUUGAUCCAUAUUUUCUUCUUUGGGUCUUAUAUUCUUCUCUAUUAUCUGUUUAAGUGCUUAAUCUAAUACUUACGAGCUAUACUACAUCAUAGCUGGUUGUAGUACUUGUCGAAGGGAGGGAAUUACUUUGUGACUCAAAAAAAUAAGAAAAAUGCUUAAUUGCUAUAAUGCACCCUAAAACAUUGGUCAAAUCCUACUUUACCACUUUAAAGUCAAAGCACUUCCCCCUUGACCAAGGUUUAAUGUUCCACAAUGCCCCCUGUUAGAAAUAUGCCCUUAAAGCCAACUAAUUAUGUACUAGUUAGAGUUAAGGACAUCUUUGAUAAAAGACAUUAUGUUAUUAAUGGGCAAGAAAUGUUGUUUUAUACAUUAAAUCAUCCUAUAUUAUUUUUCAAUAUGUAGAACAACCAUAGUCCAAGGAAUACACAAGUGGAUAUGAAAGCUAUGUAAUGAGAUUGCAUACAUGGAGACUUCUUAUCAUCCGUAAAUCCUGAAUAUGUUCCUGGUCAUAGUAAUAUUGAUUGGGCAUCAAUAUUCCGCAAAGACCAGUACACACAAUAUCGUCUCUAUAUGUAGGGAAUGACAAAGUCUCAAGUCAUUAAGUGUGGAGAUACAUCAAUAUGUGUGUAGAUGCUUGUAGAAGAACAAGUACGUUGAACGCAAUCCAACACAUAAGUUACAACAUGGAAGUCUUUACUCACAUGUCAAGCUGGAACUCAUAAAUUGCAAUGAUACAAACUAAUUCUUGGACCUGAGGCAUCAUAGAUGUUUUGUGGCUAUGUCGUUAAUCUUUGAGGGCACUAUACGAUCAUGCUGAAUUAGGCAUAGCUUAAAGGUGUUCAUCAGGAUUCUCAAUAGAGUCAUGGAAGCAAACGAAUGUAUAACAAGGAAUCUCUACUCUUAGUAAAGGAGAGAGAAUACUCCAACAUAUGAUUGGUCCAAUCUAUGCGCAAAGUAGUGGAUAAGACUUGAAAGAAGAAGUCUUCAAAUCUUACAAGGAUAGUCAUAUAAAAGGAAUGAUUCAAAUUAGGAUAUUGACAAUCGGAUUCCAUGAUCUAAUAAUGUGAAUAAGGGGUAUUGACAUAAGAGAAGGAUUCAAUUGCAUGGUCAUUCCAAUUUUAAAAGAUUCUUUCACAAUGUCUCAUUUAGCUCGGAUAACCAUGACUUGCUGCUAGCGACAACCAUUGUUUGUGGAUGUCCUAAAAUGUUUCAAUUAACCUUUAUUAAUAGGAAGAAUUUAAUUGUGGAAUUUAAUUCGUAUAUCAUCUAUGAGGAGUUGAGUCAACCCACUACCUUGCUAAAAGGAACCUACGGAUCUGCACAUCUAAAGAAUGUGAUUAGAGGUACAAAUGAGGAGAAAUGAAAUGAGAAGACACAAGGCAAUGGUUGAUUAUCAAAUGUCAAAGUCAACGGUCAAAAAUCAACAUGUUAACCGGAGCAAUUGACCAAAGUCAAAUAGUUCGACAGGGUCAAUUAAGUAAGACUAUAAUUAUAAUUUAAUAGUUAAAUUAUAAUUAAAAGAUUAAUUAUGGAAUUAAUAUUGACAUAUAUAAAUAUUGGAUUAGGCUUUUAAAUAUGAUUUAAAAUGAAAUGGACAAAAUAGUCCAAAAGGCUACUGGGCCCAAGGGAUAAGUGGCAUAAGAUAACAUGCCCCAUGGACCAAAUAGAGCAUCAAAUACCCACCCAAUUGCCUUUUGUGUUGUCCGAUAUAAGUUAAGUGUUGGAGAAAACCUAGCUAGGGUUUUUUGGUUUCCUACUUUGGUUGAUGAGUGAUCAUCUUUGUAUCUCAUCUUCCAUAGACCAAAAAUUGGUCCAAUCAAGAAGUAGACUAGCAACCAUACUUCUUGAUUGCCUUUUCUUCAUCUCUAAGAGCAUUUGGUGUGGUAAGGGUAGGGCUGGCAAUGGGUCGUAUCGUGUCUGGUUCGUGUCGUGUCGGGAUAAUAAAAGUGUCAAGAAUGCUCAAUCCGAACCCAAUCCAUUUAAUAAAUGUGCGUGUGUCGGGUUUGGGUCGUCUUUUAUCGUGCGGGUUUCGAGUCGUGUACCGGGUUUAUAAAUGAUAACAUGCAUGUUACAAAACUCACAACUGAAAAAAUUUAAAUAAAAUAAACGGAGAGAGAAGAGAAAAUAUAAGGAAAAGAAAGAAAGAAAAAAGAUAGAGAGAAGGAAAAGAAGAGAGAGAGAGAGAGAGAGAGAGAGAGAGAGAGAGAGAGAGAGAGAGAGAGAGAGAGAGAGGAGAGAAGUGAGAAGGAAAGGAAAAAAAAAAAAGAGGAGAGAAAACUAAAGAGAAGGAAAAGAAAAAAGAAAAGAGAAAGGAGAAGAUAGACGGAAAAGAAAGAAAAACAAAAGAAGAAAAGAAACAUUAUAAAUAUCAAAAGGCAUAGUAUAUAAUCACAAAGUUGUAUGUAGCAUGAUGGAUAAGGUGUUGAAGAGGAAUGAGGGUGGUGGGGGUUCAAAACCCCCUUGUGUGUGUUUUGAAGUCUCCAUUUCUCUUCAUUUUUUCGCGGGUUGGCGUGUAUUACAUGGGUUGACAUGACCCGUUUGAUAAAUGGGUCUAACGGGUUAAACAUGUAUUUUAAUGGGUUGGCGGGUUGACCCGAAACCCACUCGAUUACCCAAUUAUUAAUCGUGCGGGUUGGGGUCAUGUUUUUUCCUUGUGGGUUUCUAGUCGUGUAACGGGUCAUGUAGGAAAUUGUCACCCCAGGUGAGGUAGAGGACUCCAAUCUUGAAGCCUUGAGGUAAAUAUCUAUUCCCUUUUUCUAUUUAUGUUCAAAGACACUAGGCUAAGAUACUUGGUUUUAAAUGAAAAAUGUUUAGCUCAACUAGUGUAAACAAAAUGCAUCCGCCAUUUAGAAUGUUUUUGUUAUAUAGGUUGUGGCUAAAGUUCAUUUCCUAAGCAUUAGAUGCAUGUUUCCUUCACCCUAUACCGUCAACUCCAUCCAAAAGUUUGUAAGUUUGAUGACGUGGCCUGGUUGUUUUAGUAAUUUUGUGCAUCUAAGUCAUUUACUCACCAAUUUGAGUUGGUGAUGUGGGGAAGUGGAGCCCACCUCUAGCAUGGAUAAAAAAAAUUAAUAAAAAAUUUUAAUUUUUGUUGAAUCAUUAAAAAAAAUAUUAUUUUAGAAACAAUUGAAGGAAAAAAAUUGCUAAUUUUCAAAAAAAAAAAACAAAAAACCUAGAACCCACUGACCCAAAAAUAGACACCAUUUCUUCUCUAGUAUUUCCCCAUUACCCCCCGCGCAGAACCUAGAAACCCUCCCAUCCCCCCACCCCCUCCCUCGAUUUCAUUUAUGCUCCCCCCUGUCCCCAUCGCAACCCACCUAGACCUAUCCUUCUAGCCCCUUACCCGCAUAGCCUAGAGUCGAGUGCAAAAGAAGCCAAAGGAGCUCGUCUUGGCAAUCGAAGGUGAUGAAUUGGACGAGUAGGGUGUUGGUGUCGAGGUACUUGUGGUGGCAGAUGAGAGGGUGAAGGAGGGCGAGGAGGGGUGAGGGGCUUGGAUUAGGGAAUAAGUGUGGGCCUGGGCCCAUUGGAAGAAUGAGAGGGCGCUGGGCUUGUUUGCUAGGGUUUUGAAGCUGAGGAUGGAGAUAAGGAUGAGCUACGUGAGGUAGGGAAUGUAGGGUUUAAGGGGUUGGAGUUGUGGGGUUUUGGCAGCGAUUAAGAAGCUGGUUAUGGUUUGGAGUAGUUGAGGUUGGGUUAAAGCUUUAGUUGGGUUGGCUAUGGAGAUGUGAAAAUUUCAAUUUUGAGAGAGAGAGAGAGAGAGUUUCAAUUUUUAAAAUUUAAAAUUUAUGUUUGUAUUUUAAUUUUUUUAAGGUAAAUAAUGUUUUAUUUUUUUUCAAUCUAUGUUGGAAGUGGGCUUCACUUUGCCACAUCACCCACUUAAAUUGGUGAGUAAAUAACUUAGGUGACUUUGGGUGCCAUUUGUUUGAGAUGGCUCGAAUUUAGGCCCAUCAUCUCUUACCGACUUAACUCGGAGUUCUCCCAACUCACUGUUUAAUUGCCGAUUUAUUCAAUAUAUUAUCGGCUGCCUUUCUUCUAACAGAGAAAAAUCCUUAACGGUUUCUUUCACAGAACCAGACGCCAUGGUGUUCAUCACAUCCCCCAACCACAAAACCCUAACCCUAAAUCUAAACCCGAAGACCACCACCCUCCAAACCCUAAAGCUCCAAAUCGAACAAAAAUCCCAAAUACCCAUCUCAGAGCAGCGCCUAUUCAUCUCCCAAAGCCUCCAAUUACUGACCCAAACCGGCUCCACCCUCCUUUCCGACCUCGGCAUCAGACCCCUCUCAACCCUAACCCUCCACAUCCCCUUGUUCGGCGGCACCCAACCGCCCAACGUCCCCAAGCCCCGCCUCGAGUUCCUCAACUCCAAGCCUCCCCCAAAUUAUGUCGCUGGGCUCGGCCGUGGUGCCACUGGGUUCACCACACGAUCCGAUAUCGGGCCCGCCCGGGCCGCCCCCGACCUGCCCGAUAGGUCGGCCACGACAAUCGGUGGCGCUGCUUCUGCUGCUGCCCCGCCUGGGGUUGGCCGCGGUCGUGGGAAGCCUGAGGAAGAGGAAGAAGAUGAAGGAGAGGAUAAAGGGUAUGAUGAGAAUCAGAAGUUUGAUGAAUUCGAAGGGAAUGAUGUUGGGUUGUUUGCAUCGGCUGAGUACGAUGAUGAGGAUAAGGAGGCUGAUGCGGUUUGGGAAGCUAUUGAUACGAGAAUGGACUCGAGGAGAAAAGACCGGAGAGAAGCUCGGUUGAAAGAAGAGAUUGAGAAAUACAGAGCUUCGAACCCAAAGAUCACGGAGCAGUUUGCAAAUUUGAAGAGAAAGUUGUACACCGUGUCUGCUCAGGAAUGGGAGAGCAUACCCGAAAUUGGAGACUAUUCAUUGAGGAACAAGAAGAAGAGGUUCGAGAGCUUUGUGCCGGUGCCCGAUACGCUUUUAGAGAAGGCGAGACAGGAGAAGGAGCAUGUUACGGCUUUGGACCCCAAGAGUAGGGCAGCUAGUGGUACGGAAACGCCAUGGUCUCAAACUCCGGUUACAGAUUUGACCGCUGUAGGUGAGGGUAGAGGUACUGUGUUGUCAUUGAAAUUAGAUAGGCUUUCUGAUUCUGUUUCUGGGCUGACGGUUGUGGACCCAAAAGGGUACCUUACUGAUCUUAAGAGUAUGAAGAUUACUAGUGAUGCUGAGAUUUCUGAUAUUAAAAAGGCCAGAUUGUUGCUCAAGAGUGUAACACAGACGAAUCCGAAGCACCCACCUGGUUGGAUUGCGGCUGCAAGGCUAGAGGAGGUGGCUGGGAAGAUUCAAGCAGCCAGGCAGUUGAUUCAGAAAGGGUGUGAGGAGUGUCCCAAGAGUGAGGAUGUGUGGUUAGAGGCGUGUAGGCUUGCUAACCCGGAUGAAGCUAAGGCUGUGAUUGCCAAGGGAGUCAAGACGAUACCCAAUUCGGUGAAGUUGUGGAUGCAGGCUGCAAAACUAGAGCAUGACGAUUUGAAUAGGAGCAGAGUGUUGAGGAAAGGGUUGGAACACAUUCCUGAUUCUGUUAGGCUGUGGAAGGCGGUUGUGGAGCUGGCAAAUGAGGAAGAUGCAAGACUUCUGCUUCACAGGGCCGUGGAGUGUUGUCCCUUGCACAUUGAAUUGUGGCUUGCACUUGCAAGAUUGGAAACUUAUGAUAAUGCUAAGAAGGUCCUCAAUAAGGCAAGAGAAAAGCUAUCAAAGGAGCCAGCCAUUUGGAUCACUGCGGCCAAGUUAGAAGAAGCUAACGGGAAUACGUCCAUGGUUGGGAAGAUUAUUGAAAGAGGUAUAAGGGCCUUGCAAAGGGAAGGAUUAGCAAUUGAUAGAGAAGCGUGGAUGAGGGAGGCUGAAGCUGCUGAGCGUGCAGGGUCUGUUGCAACUUGCCAAGCAAUCAUUCGGAACACAAUUGGGAUUGGUGUGGAGGAGGAGGAUAGAAAGCGCACAUGGGUUGCUGAUGCAGAGGAAUGCAAGAAAAGGGGUUCGAUUGAGACAGCCAGAGCUAUUUAUGCUCACGCACUUACUGUGUUCUUAACCAAGAAGAGCAUAUGGCUCAAAGCAGCACAACUUGAAAAGAGCCAUGGGACUCGGGAAUCUCUUGAUGCUUUGCUUCGUAAAGCAGUGACAUAUCGACCACAAGCUGAAGUCUUGUGGCUUAUGGGAGCUAAGGAGAAGUGGCUUGCUGGGGAUGUGCCUGCUGCCCGUGCCAUCCUCCAAGAAGCUUAUGCUGCUAUACCCAAUUCUGAAGAAAUUUGGCUUGCUGCAUUUAAACUUGAAUUUGAGAACCAUGAACCUGAGAGAGCUAGAAUGCUUCUUGCCAAAGCCCGAGAAAGGGGAGGCACAGAAAAAGUUUGGAUGAAAUCAGCAAUUGUUGAGAGAGAGUUAGGGAACCUUGAUGAGGAGAGGAAGUUACUUGACGAGGGAUUGAAGCGGUAUGCUAGCUUCUUUAAAUUGUGGUUGAUGCUUGGACAACUAGAGGAACGGCUUGGUCAUUUGGAAAAAGCCAAGGAGGCUUAUGACUCAGGUCUGAAGCACUGCUCCAAUUCUAUUCCACUCUGGCUUUCUCGUGCUAAUCUGGAAGAGAAGAUGGUUGGGCUGAGUAAAGCUCGUGCAGUUCUCACGAUGGGCAGGAAGAAGAAUCCUCAGAAUCCUGAAUUGUGGCUUGCUGCUGUUCGAGCUGAAUUGAGGCAUGGCAAUAAGAAGGAAGCUGAUAUCUUGAUGGCAAAGGCUUUGCAGGAGUGUCCCAAUAGUGGUAUCUUGUGGGCUGCAUCUAUUGAGAUGGUACCCCGUCCCCAACGGAAGACCAAGAGUAUGGAUGCCCUCAAGAAAUGUGAUCAUGAUCCCCAUGUCAUUGCUGCUGUGGCAAAGUUAUUUUGGCAUGAUAGGAAGGUUGACAAAGCUAGGAAUUGGCUAAACAGGGCAGUGACACUUGCUCCAGAUAUUGGGGAUUUCUGGGCUUUAUACUACAAAUUUGAACUUCAACAUGGGACUGAGGAGAACCAAAAGGAUGUACUGAAAAGGUGCGAAGCUGCAGAACCAAAGCAUGGUGAAAAAUGGCAACCUAUUUCAAAGGCUGUGGAGAACUCUCACCAAUCGUUUGAAGCUAUCUUGAAGAAAGUGGUGGUUGCUCUUGGGAAGGAAGAGAGUGCAGCCGAAAAUAAUAAACACUAGUUCUGGCUUGUUUUUUCCAGGUUAUGUUGGAAAACGUUGUAGUACAGAAAGAAAAUCGAUGUCUAGUGUCACUUGUCAUCCGGUUGGCAAACGUUGCUAUAAUUUUAGCUUUGCUCAUUUGAUAUAUUUCCUUGCUGAUGAAGUAUGGCUUAAUUGAUUGUUCGAAUUACGAUGGUAUGUCUUGACAUAUAAAUUUUCAUCUGUGUUCUUGUGCGUUUUCCUUUUGGAUUUUACACACUCCCUUGUAGAUUAGUUUGAUUCAUAUCUGACUGCAUUUAGUUAUGACAAUUGCCCUUCUUUAUGAUUUCCCUUCUGCGAUUUUCUGCAGUUCCGCUAUUUGGUCAUCUAUCUUUAAGCAUCCUCUGAGCAUAGAAACAGCUUAUUGCUUGCCUGCUUGGACUUGAACACUAUGUUACUGUGCCUUAUUCUUUUAUCCUAAGAUGCAACGGUUACUUCUCGAUUUCCUACUUGAGUUUUGUAUGUGAAUUGACAAAAUUAUUUAUGUGAAUGUUUUUCUCAUAUUGCUCGACCCUGAAUUCAGCAGUAAAAUUGAUGGCAACAUAUAGUUUUCAUUUUUUCCUUUUUAAGACUACUGUCAUGUGAGGCUCUGUAAUCUAUGGUUAUGGAAACAAAAUGUUGACAUGUCAAUGAACUGGGCUUCUUCAAUUUAAAGGGGGAAAUAAGACUGUAUUUGGCUUACUCUUUGUUACAUAACCAUCCAAGUCUAUUACUUUUCUGUCAUAUUAUAUGCAUUUCCUUUUAUAUCCUGUCAUUUUUCUGCCUGGUUUGUGGUUUCAGUUUAUGGUAGGGGAUUCCUAGGUGAUAGGGAUUUCUCUAAAAUUUAGGCCCAAGGGUUCAUAGAGAUAGGAGAGAUUAAGGAAGGGGGAACUAGGGCAUUUGGUUGUGUAUUCUUUUAAUUUGUGUUCAAUUGUCAGGGAUUAGGUUUUAUAUGUAGUAGUUUGAUCCAUCAUUUAAUGGCCACUGAAAACAUUGGUGUGGUUAUGCAUUUUCUGGUCCACAGAAUAUAUUUGAAUCAACUCUCAGCUUAUUGAGCUGUGGGCUUUUAUUGGAUUCGUUUUUAUCAACAAGCUCUUGAACUGAUAGGAUUCUCCGUGAUCUUUCCUUCCAAGAACAAAGACAGUCUUAUAAGCUAAUUUAGUCUGGUAAGCUGGCUUGUAUUUUGUUGGGAAAUGUGCGGGUGCUUUCUGUUGGCUUAUGUUAAAUGCAGUUUGUUGUAUUAUGUCCUUUGUCCUUUCUUUGUUUAUGCUUGUAGAAGGGGUUGCCUCGGUGGUCCGGUUGUCUUUGUAAUCUAGGCUCAAUCUCAGAGUCACUAAAUUUUGUAUCCUUGCAUGCAUCUGGUGGUGCAUUGCUACAGUCAAGAUUGACAAUACUAGGGUACAUGGUCGUGCCCUUAAUGUUCAUGUACUGGGCAUUCAAAAUCGAAACUUUCUAUGUCUUUCGGCAACCCUUUAAAAGGUGAUGGGCAAAAUAAUGUCCUCAGAAACCAAAGUAGAGAGGGUGUGUGAAAACCAAGCCAACUCUCGAUCCUAAACCGAGGGCAUUCUCGCAUCUCGCAGGUCAUCUUCUCGACGUUGGUUACGGAGUCACCAUUUGCUGGUGGUGACACAGUUAUCGACUUCAUUUCUGAAGACUGCACUGUUGCUUCAACCUCAAUGUCUGGGAAAUUCAAGUGGACCAACUAUAUAUUUUCCUUUUGGUAUCACAAUGGUUUGUUCUGCCUUGUAGAAAAGCCUAAACCAGCCAUCACCUACAGAGUCACAGUAUGUAACGCGGGCUCCAACCAAGGGCAUCGAUCCAGUGACAUUAUAAAGUUCAUCCAUCCGAUCCCAUUAAGUCAUACCAACAAUAGAAGAAUAAGAUAAUUAGCUCGCCCCCAAGUGGAAACAUAAUUAAUUAACAUAAUUUAAGGAUUUUACGGGCCAAUUAGUGCCUAAGCGAAGGCUAGCAGCACCAAAAAGUAGAAACACUGACCUUCAAGCUUAGAAAUGGAGAAAUGUUUGUAACGGUAAACGUCACGUGGUAUGCCGAUGUGGUAUUAUGAAUUCUGUGUACGUUCCAACAAGAUGAAAGACACAUGGAAACUCAUAUUCUAACAAUGAGAACAUUCAAAAUCUAGAAACUUUAUAAGACGAAAGAGAACGGAGAACGAAUUAGUUGUUGAACUUGCUAGAAUUGAUAAUCAAUGAUGCAUCCAUAGAUGCAAAUCUAGAGAAUUGAUGGAGCAUGAUGUAGCAUAGACCUAACCAUGUUGCAUAACCCAGUUCAAACUAGCACCAUUGUUGAGCCAUUAAAUGUAGUCUAUUUUUCAGAGUCAAAAUCUCUUUCUUUUCUUCUCUUUCCUGUUUCUUUAAAAGAAUAAUUGCUAUAUAUUGCUCGUUGCUUAUCUUUGCUUCCAGUACAUAAAUGUAAUGAAUCAAGUCUAAUGAAAUUAAGUUUUAUCUUAUGAUUGUGUCACUGUUUUUUUAAACAUUGCUUCUUGUACUGAACUAUGGGAUUUUUUUUUUAAUAAUUUUUUUUCUAGAUUAGUGUUGAAGUACAGUGCUGAAGUCUGUUUGUGGUUUUGGACAGAGGACCAUUUGAGGUAAGAACCUCUUCUUCUCAUUACACUUAGUUCCAUUUUGUUUUCUUAUUAACAGCUAUAGUGGUUGUCAAUGUCAUUGUGGUGUUGUUUGUUUAAAGUUAUUAAAAUGGCAUACAUGUUUUGUAUUGUGUUGAGAAGUUAUGCAACCCAUGUUGGUUAAGCUGUGGAUUAUACUUUGGAUUUUAUGAUUUAUGUUCUCUAAUGGGUUUGUGCUAUGCAUGAUAUUAGUCUUUACAUUGAUUUUUCGGAAUUGUUUUCCUUAUUAAUUUGUGGUAUUUGUUAUUAUCACAAAGGUAUCCUUUAGACAGUUAAUAUUGAGAGGUAUGAAAAAUGAAUUCAAUUUUUAUUAAGUUUGUUCAAAUAUCAUUCUCGAACAUUCUUAAAUAUUGAUGACCAGUAAUCAUUUUUCUUUUGUAGAUCCACUCUUUUUAACGGCUUAUUUAGUUAAGAUUGUGAAUUUCAGCUUUUGGGCAAGAUUUCUUGUAAUUAUGUUGUCGAAAAUUGUUUGUUUUUGGUCUCUUAAGUAUAUUUUUAUAUUUAAAUUUUCUUGGUUUUGGCUUCUUCUUGACCAUUGGCAUUUCCUUGUUUUGUUUCUUUUGAAAAGGAGGAUGAUUGAUGAGUUUGAGAAGAUCAAGCAACAAUUGGCAUUGUUUGGGAAUUCCACGAUAUUAGAUCACAGUCCCUAUCCCACAGGUGUUAAAGAUCAUGACUACCAAACUCAGAAUUACAAAAGGCAUAGUAUACAUGCAUUUUUUUUUAGUCGAAACCUAGUCUUAGAGUGGGGAAAUAAUUAUUGCAGAACUUGGGUUUUCCAAGGGCAAGAAUAUAUGGAGCUUGGCCUCCAAUCUUUGAGUAGGGAGUUCUUCACUCGUUUAUGUAUACUAAUUUUGGAUAUGUUAUGUGUACCUAAAUAACUAGUAUGCUCUUGUGUACUUUUCAAUGAGAGAAACUUUUAUUCAUAUCAUUUUCUAUUGAUCUAUUGAUCUGUUUAUUUAAAUUUAUUGUUUUUUGAAAUUACAAUAUGUUAAGGAACAAAAGGUUAAUAUUAUCACAAAACAGAACAUAAAUAAAAUAAUUAAUAACACCUACAAUAUAAAUAUUUUAGCGACCAAAUAAGUAAGCUUUAGCGACCAAAUCCGGUAGUCAUCAGUACCUAUUGGCGACAAACAAAUCUAUUUGGUCACCGAAUCCUUCCUCAGUUCGCAGUAAAUUUUGGUAUUUUUGCAGGAAGCAAUCUUUAUAGGCGACCAACUGAUUACUGUAAGGUGACGAAAUCAAUUGGUCGCGUAAAGGUUUUGACGACGAAAAUUAGUUUUCGUCGCCCUUUGUCAUCUGGUACUUUCAACCACAAGCCUUAGGCGACAAAGCUAGUGACGAAAUUAUUUCGUCGCUAAAGGGUUUUGGCGACAAAAUGUCAGCUUUUAGCUACCAAAGGUAGUGGUCGCCAAAAGGGGUUUUCCUUGUAGUGUAGCUACAAGGGAGUUCAAAGAUGUUUCCAUAACAAACCUUUGAAUCUCUUCAGUAACUUGGAACACAAUAUAAUCUGAAAUUACCAGGGCCGGUCCUGACUUUUGGGUGGUCCUAAGUGAUAAAUUAAGAUAUAUUUAGUCAUAUAUCCAUUCUUAGCACUAAAACUGUAAAUAAACCCUACACUAUUUAAUUUCUACAUACAAACCCAAAAAAUAACAAUUGGCCAUAUUGAAUUUAAUUUUGAUUAUUAAAUUACUUUGAUGUCCUAUUGAGUGUUUUGGGCUUUUUUAUGAGGUUUUUGGGUUGGGUUUAUUUUAAGAAAUCAUGGCAGUUUUGUAAUUUAAAAGAAGUUAUAAGCCUUUUUAUUAUGUUGUAAAUAAGUUUUGGGUGUGUUUCUAAAGUCCAUUUCAUAUAGGGUUUGUUUUAUAAUUUGGGCUCCUAUAUUGAGUAUAAUAGUGAAUCUCCCAUAAAUUAAUAAUGGGGCCCCUUCUUUAGUAUACAAUAAAGCUUGAUACGAAAGGAAAAAGAAAGUGUUCGUUCAUUCUUUUUGGUUUAAACAUAAUAAUUUCAUUCUAACAAAACAAAAGUACAUGAAUCAUAAAAAAUAAAAAUUAUAUUUAGGUCCAUACAUAGUUAGAUAGCUUCUAACAUUCAACAAAACAACCUAUUCUUUGACAGUAAGUUCUCAAGUAGUCUCUUUUUUGGGCCCAAAGGUGUUCAUUAACCCAAUAAAGAGAAUCAACAAACCACCUAACAAAAGAUAAAGGCCAACCCCAACAACAAUCUGAGAAAGGAAAAGCAAGAACAAAACUCAACAGAGACCAGCAUAUAAGGUUUAGGGUGGGAAAAAAUAGUUUGUUGGAUAGGGAAAAAUAUAAAGAAAAAUUCAUAAAUCUGAUUACCUUUUCAAAUUCCCAUGCUCAUCUCCUCUUGGUCACCAUCAAUCUCAAAGACAAAGAUCAAAAAAGAAAAAUUGUGAGCUUUUCAGUGAGAGAUCGAUUCUUUUAGGGUUACGAUAUGAGAAAAGAGGUAUAAGAUAAACUGAAAAUAAUAGGAGAGAGAUUGGGAGAACAUAGAAUAAUAUGGUGGAUUAAAUAGAGAGCAUGUUCCAUGGAGAAACUAGGAGUAGGAGAACCAAAGUCUUUUGGAAAGAGGAGAGCGUAGGGAAGAGAAAGUUUGUUUCUUUAUGGGCACAUGCUCCUUAUCGUUGUAUAUGUGGAAGUUGUACCCCCUUCUACUAUAUGAAUGCAUUUAGUUCAUGGAAAAUGAGACUUAAGUAUGGGAAAUGAGGCUUGGGGAUGGAAAAUUAAUUGUUUUCCCAUGUUUGGUAAGUCUAGGCAUGAGAAAUGGCUACUAGGCACAUGGAAAAAUUUGGGGGAAAAUGUCCUUCCCCCCGGGUUUCAUUUUCCUUUCACAUGGGAAACUUUGGGAAAAUGGGCCAGUAUUAAAUGCACAUUUUUCAUGAUCAUUUUGUCCCUAUCAACAAUAUCUCAUGUAAUGUAUUAUUUUUUUAUUUGAUUUAAUAUCGGUAUAAUUGAAAAUUUAUACACACUUUGUUUUCCAUUCCUACUCAAAACAAACAUGUGAAAGGAAAUAAAGUGAUAUCUCCGGUUACUUUCCCAUCAUUACCAACCAUGGAAAAUGAAUCUUCCAUUUCCCAUGCCUUGGGAAAUGAUAUAAGAAGUGAUAUCUCCUCAAAUCCGUUCCGUAAACCAAACGGGGCCUAUAUGUAACAAUUGUGCAAGAUGCCCUACAAAAACCACAACAACAUGCCCACCAACCUAAAUGAAAAAAAUAACUGAGUGAUAUGUACAAAGAUUAAUAGUAUAACCAAACAUGUAAAAUUUAAUACCAAUUGUUUGUGCAAAUAUUCUCACGGGAGAAUAUCUGAGUGAUAUGUACAAAGAUUAAUAUAGUAUAACCAAACAUCUAAAAUUUAAUACCAAUUGUUUGUGCAAAUAUUCUCACGGGAGAAUAUCCGCUUCUAGAUCCUUCGCACUUUGAACUUCUUUCUCUCUUUUCUUCGGUUCCUGUAAAAAAGACCUGAGUAAAUAGACCACACUCGAGGGGUGUUGACCAAAGGCCCUCCGAUGCCUAAGUUAGUUCGAUUGUAUCUAGGUGAAACAAUAGCUAAAAAAUUGUACGAAGUUUUCUCUGUGGUGAGAACCGGGUGGCUGGAGCCAUGUGGAGAAACAAAUAUGGAGGAGUCGUCGGCUAGAGAGAGAGAGGGGCAGAGAUUUUGGGGUAUUUUUAUAGGGUUUCAGAACUAGGUUUAGAGUUAACUUGAGUGUUGAAUAAAGCCAUGUAUUUAUGGGGCUCUAGGCAUCUAGGGCUUUUCAAAGAAUAAACUCUUAUUUGGAAGGAGUUUAUUCUUUCCCCAAAUUGUAGAGAUUGAGUCCAUAAGGAUUUGAUUGGGAUCAAAUCUCCUAAUUUGAUGAUGAUAUCUCCAAAUUAAGAUAAUAUCUUAAUUGGUAAUAUUAUCUUUUUAAAUAAUGAUAAUAUCCCUGUUUUUAGUAUCAAUUAAUUGCCAAAUAAAUGAGUUUAAUUAAUUGACCCAUGAGAUAUUCUUCUUGUCCAUGUGACUUCUCGUGAUUGGAAGCCAAAUCAUUUGCUCCCACAAAUGUUGGACCUUUUGCAUGGCGCUUGUGUGGCAUGUAGGAAAUGAAAUUAUUCUUUGAGCUUUCCAAUUGUAUCUUGAUGUUCUUCUUUAAAUUGGACUCCUUUUGCAAAUUGGGUUCCCAAUUAAAGUGGGCUUUUGACUUUCCUUGGAGUUAGGCUCCCAAUAGAAAUAGGCUUGUGUUUUCUUCUUGACUUAGGAUGCCCAACCUUCAUAAAUACAAGACUCCUCCUCACUUUCCUUCAAAUCGCGAACUUGUCUUCUCUACUUUCUAGCUUGAGAGAGAUCUUGGGGAAUUUGUACUGCUUGUCGAAGAGAGGAGUUGCCGUGCAUCUCAAGGUAAGUGAAGCAUGUGUAUUUUUUUCUUCGUUUUUUCUCCUUUGCGGCGAGGACUGGUCCGAUGGGUUCUGCCAAUUGUCGUCUUGACAUCGCUAUCGAGGACCAACGGUAGGAUGGAAUAGAUAGGCAAAUUGACAGUCGCGCGGCUGGAUAGACUAGAUAGGCGAAUUGAUAGUCGCCCAACUGCUGCUGCCGCUGCUUGCAGUGUUGGAGGCUCCGCUGCUUUUUCCGCUUCAUGUGUCGUGAGCUAGCUACUAGAUUGUGACUCUUGCUGCGAUUCAGUAGUUGGGUUGCGUCGCGCGUCUUGCUACGGGCUCUGGUGGCAGUAGGCCACUGCUACUACCUUGGCGAUUGUUGGUUGCAGCGGCGGUCUUUUUUUCUUUAGCGAUGGGGCUCGCUGCAACUUGGGCCUUUUGCUCGAGCUGCUCCGUGGCUUGCCUUGCAACUCAUGCUUCUUCUUUUUCUUUUUGAACCUCAAUUCUAGAGUUUUGACAUGCUAUAUGAAUUACAAUUUUCUUCCCUUUUUGGAGUUGUUUAUUGAUCAUGUCUUUAGAGGAUGGUAGCUGAGCACCAAGCUCUCAUGUGCCUUAGUAUCUGUAGGGAGGCUCCAAAGUGCAUAAGAGGAGAUUUGUGACUAAUCUCCACCUCGUUACGUCUGAAGCUCAGUUCUAGAAGUGGCCACUUAUGCUUCUGCCAUUCCUGAUUACGUGCAUGUUAGGAUGGUGGAGUCUUUCACUGAUGAUGCGCCUUGUGUAGAUGCGAAUGAUCCAGACGCUAGAAUCAUCACCUUCCGUCCCUUUUAUUUUUCCUUGGGCUUCAUGUUCCCGUUGUCAAAUUCUUCAGGGUGGUGUUUUGCACCAUGGAGUGUGCUUGAAGUCAGUGUACUCCAAACGUCUACCAAGCCAUCAUGUGCUUUGAGAAUUUAAGCCGUUUCUUCAAGCUGGAGCUGACGGUGUUGGAGUUUUUCUACUUCUUCAAAAUGGGGCGAUACAAGAAGUAUGCUCAAGUCCGUGUAUGCAAAGUCAAGUUGUUUGACAAUUUCUUUAGAGUUUGAGUAUUUAGGUUUGAUUUUGUUAUGAAAAAUUUGUUGAUUCUCAAAAUAAAGAAAAACACAUAUGUAGCUCAGAAAAUAACCAAACAAACACAAUUCAAGAGAGAAACCCCUAAAUUGCAGUGAAUAGUAACUUCUGUCUUGAACAGUGUUUUAGGGAUUUUUUUUGUCCAUUUUUGAAGCAAAAUACAUUUCUAAAUAGGGAAUGACCUAAUUAACACAACUCACUACUUUGCUGUGACAUAUGAGAAUUUUUAAGGUUUUAAUGUCAUUUUGGUAGGUCAAAAACGUGUUUAAAGUUUUGAAGAUAUGAAAAAUCAAAUUAAAAUAUGUUUUUCCAUAUUCUUUAAUAUUCUUGAUAUUUAGAAGAAAAAAAACAUGUUUAAUCCAUCUUCAAAUUUUAAACAUAACCAUAAACUCAUCAUGGCAUAAACAGAUAAGAAAUCGUAAUAGGUAUGGUUGAAAAACGAUUUCAAUGUGUGCGAAUAACUAGGUGCUCUGAUACCAUUGUUAGAAUUCUUUAUAUGCAUGUUCAAGAUCUUCCACACAAUCUGAAAUACGUAAAGACAUACCUGGCCCAAUAUUCCUUGAGUACACGACCUCUGAACUCAUUCAACCGUAGCAACAACAGUACUUCUGCUCUCUCUCAGAAUCUGGUUAAGCUCUUUCUUUAUGAUGAGAUUAGGGUUAGAGAACGUGUCUAACGAGAGCAGGGUCUUAAGCUUAUAUAGGGGUAGGUCAAGUCGUCUCUACUCAUCACCAAUGGCCGACUUGACUAAUCUUCCAAGCCCACCAAGCAAUGGUUCACGGAAAAAAAAGAAAUAAAUAGGACCCCUUAAUAGGCUUCAAAACCUUUCCUUAUUCCACAAGGUUUUGGGCCUUCAGGUAUAACCUAAUUUAAACUUUUAUCAAAAUAUGAUAUAACUUAAUAUCUACUGCACCGAUCUAAAUAGGAAACAUAACAUUUGCGUCUCUCGAAUGACGCUUCUUGUGGGUUGCAUAUCCCGAAGUACCCUUAGGAAACUGAUAAGAUGUACUUAACAUUAAUUAUCGUAUAAUUAGUUGACUUUAAGGACAUAUUACUAACAUUUGUCACAUAGUCAUUUAGCAGUUUGACUAAUAGUCUAGCUAACUACGGGAUGAAUUUGUAUGUUUUUUGUGAUAUUGUUCACCCGUUUUCGUGUUUACUCCUGAGGUGGAAGGGCGAAGUUCUCCACUGGCUUGAAGACCAUUUGUUGGUCGAUAAGUCAGCUUUCUUUGGUGUGUGAGCGUGCCACUGCUAGCGAUGUAAAUUCUAGCAGACUUCUUUUAGAGUGGAUAACUUGCGCCCCAAGUUACUAACUUCUAAAACAGAUGAUUGUGAAUUUGGGUGAGGAAUAUCUCCCAAGUAAGUUCUUUUCUUGCCUCAGACUGGUGAGGACUUUCAUAAUUUAUCUCAGUAUCAAACAGCUGUUCUGGCCAGAAAAAUUUGAUAGAAGUUGGGCUUUUUUAGGUAGAACUGCCUUUUACAAAACAAUAAAUAUGCAUAUCGACGCUAGGAAGGUUAAAAGACGGCCGGAACUCCGUUUCUGCUUGGAUGGAAGGCUCUGGCUUGGGCUGGACUGGACACACCUAGGUCGGUCCAUACUGCUUCGUGACUUCAAAUGCUAGGUUGAGCUAUAAAUCGAUACCAAAGUUCGAUUUUGGCAGAGCUUUAUGUUUACUUCACUCUUCGUGAGGCCUUUUAGUAGGCAGAACUGCAGCUUCUUCAGUUUGAAGAGGCAGAAGUGGCUGUUCUCGAAGGCUUGGUGGGCUAGGGAUUGCACUACGAGCGUUGUUCUGCUUGAGCAGGACUUUUCAUAAGUUCGCUGAGGUCUCCACGUUUGUGAAGAUUCAAAUUCUGCUUGCCUUGGCUUUUGCUGAACCAAAUUUGUAACGAGAGAGAUCUCGUUUUUAGAAGACUUAUUUUCUAAGUCUGAACUUUGGAAUUCUGAUCUAAAGCUGGUUUCUCUUGGAAUCCAAGUGAGCUUUUGGUUGUUUUCUUGUUGUUUGUUUUUUUAUUUAUUGAUGAAUUGAGUGUCCUUUCCUUCCUUGCCUACUUCUGCUUUUAUAAGAGACCCUCUUGGGGAGGUGGUUUCUUUUUAAUUUUAAUAAUGGGCGGUAAAAAGAUCUCCUAUAAUGUAAAGUAAAAGGGAUUUUUAUCAAUCAUGGCAGAUAGGCUCUCAGUAGUCACCUCCUAAAGUAGUCCCUUCCCUGGUUUCCUGGGUGACAGAUUUUUAUUUCAACCAAUGCCACCAUCUGUGUGGGCUAAAUUUUAUGGCGGUUGGUUUUCUUUUUGUAUUUUCUGAACAACUCUCUGUUUCCCGUUCUAACUUUAGAAAGUGUGAUCCGUGAAUUCCUCGGAAGAUGGUGUAUUGCUCUGGAGCAAAAUCUCCGAACACAUAUGGGUUUUGGUCUUCUGUUGGCAGUGCUUCAGAGAUGUCCCUCUCAUAUUUUAUUUUAGUUGGAAUUGCUGACUUUUCAAAACUGAGGUAGUCACGUGGGUAUGUUUUUAAUCCCUUGGGUUUGAACCCAACAAAAAUUACGGGCUGAUCCUUGAAGCCCAAAUGACAGUUUGGUCUUUCUUGGGCUGAGGGCUUUGUUUUCGACAUCCUGGCGUGAAGCCCAAUCUGUCUGGAUCCUAAUUUUGUUAUCCUCAAGUUUUUUGGGCUGGGCAGGUAAUUUUACCAUGGGCUUGUCUUUUGAACUUUGGCGUGCUAGAUUUAGGCCCAAACAGAUAUAAAUUUUUUUUUUUUUGGCAAGAUUUUAAAGCUCGGGUACUAACUUGAAAUGACCUCUAAAGUUUGAGUAGUUUUAUGUAGUUAACCCUUUAAUUUAUUUAGCCAAAUUAUGGACACACUAAAGACUAUUAUCUGAAUUUUUUAGAUUUUUAGAAUAUUAACCACUCGAGUGACAAUAUUCUAAAUCUUGAGAAAGAAAAAUUGGCCAAAAGUCCUUAAUUGAGAAAUUAUAGAAUACUACAGUAAUAUGACCACGUGGUAAAUCUUGUACACAUGUUAUAAUAUGGUUGAACGAAAGGGUUUAUUUUCCCCUUUUUAAGGAAUAGUAUCAAUAAAUAUCGACGUAUAUUAUAACAUGUGCACAAUAUGUACCACAUGACAGUAUUAAACACUCUCCUUAAUGUGUUAGAAAAGGUUACUUUUCCAAAUUUCUCUUGGAUAUUUGUGUUUAUUGACUUAUUAAGCAAUUAAGUUGCUUUCACGCUACUAUAUUUUGUAUUACAUAUUGGUGGAUUCUAUUAUGUAGUCAAAGGUUCAACAUUUGACCCUCGACCCAAAAAAAAAAUUAAAACCUUCUUUUAAAAAACUGCCAAAGCAAAGGAGGAAAAUCCAGUAGAGGAGAAAAAGUACCACAACACGAAACAACAAAAACAAAAACCUACUCCCCCCACCCGCCCUCUAUCUGACUCAAGUACAUCCAAAAGCCAAACUAGUGCUCAAUCCUCCGAUAUGAACCAGGUGUGCUCCUUAAGACCAAAUUGAGCCAAAGAAUGAGCCACCCUAUUUCCUUGGCUAGGUUGAUAGUGCACCUCUACAACACUCAAUCGUUCCAUCAAAAGCCGAACAUCUUAAACAAAGUUACCAAUAUUAGUCCAUAAUACCUCAAUGUCAUUUAAGUAACUAAUAGCUUCCUGCGAAUCAAUAAUAAGAUUGUGAAAACUUUUCGCAUAAAGCAAUAGUAGGCCCUCCCACAACGCUGUUAAUUCAAUUUCCAAAAUGCCCAAACUCACCGGACCCCAAAAUUUUCGACUUGCCUUACAGCACCAAAUUGCAUGUACCGCAUCUCCACCCCUCUUCCCACAAUGUAAGCACAAGAAGGAAGGAAGCACCUUUCACUGGACCAACUGCACACCAGUAGGUAAAAUAUCAGAAUCAUCUCUCCAAAGGAACAACUUAAUCUUGUUUGGGAUCUCCAAUUGCCACAAUUUUUUCCAAGAAACCUUGUGCUCUUAAUUUUCAGUUCCAUCACAUUGUUGAAUUAAUUUUCAGAUGAAACCAAUGGCUGAUAAUAUCAAUUUUCUUCCCAAAGAGUUUGGAGACAUAUUGUAGCCAACUAACCUUAAAUUUUAUACACACAAUACAAAUGACCUAAUCCAAUUCCAAACUUUGGUUGCUCUAAUCUAAUCAGCAUCCAAAGCAAAACUAAUCUUGAUUAAUUUACAACAUAAUCAUCAUUAUCUUGUAGCAGCCACAGCCUGACAUAAUUAAAAUACUGGGUUUGGUUUCAAAGAAAGGGUUUGUUUAUUCAGCCAUGUCUGCCUCACCACCAAUACAUGAGAUAUUUUCAAAUUCAUUAAUUAAUUAAUUAAUUAUUUCAACAAUGUCAAUGGAAAUCAUUAAUUAAUCAACCACAUGAUUUCUAAUUUUAUCAUGCCGUCACUAGUUCAUCGUUAUCGUGCCGUCACAAAUAAGAAAUUUGAUUGAUCUCAUGGGACGGCGACUGGUCCCACCUUUCCCCAUCAUUCUGUCAAUCACUCAUCGAUCACCAACAAUAAAUGUCGAAAGUGUUCGUUUUCUUUUUUCUUGGUUGAAUUUUUGUAAAUCUUUUUUAGAACUAAAUGAGUUCGAAUGCUUUUUUUCUUCACAUGAAAAUGCGCGAAACCAAACUGUGCAGGUGAUUGAUUGGAUGAGCGGCAUGCAGCUGCUGGAAUUUCCCUUUGUAAUCAUUGUGCGUGCAGGAAACUUCAAACAUUAGGCGAAUUCUAAUAAGCCCAUCAUUCUUUUGAAAUUUUUUUAUAGUAGAUCUAGUAUUUAUUUGAGUGUAUGUAAUACUUUUUGUGGUGUAUAUAGAGGCCCUUCUUACUUGGUUGAUGGUUUUUUUAUAUUUAAUUAAAGAAGGUCAUGAUUUUAAAUCUCAUAGACGACAGUUUUUGAAUAAAGAAAACGAAUAGUUCAUUUCUAAAAAAUGAAAUGUUUUGUUUUUUUUUUCGCCAAUAGUUCAUUCGUAAUGAAAUUUAAGAGAAUUAAUGAAUCCAAAAAUGGUGAGAUAAGUGACAACUACUUAGAUGGAAUUUAUAAUUUCAAAAUUCCAAGUAUUUUUUUCGGGUUACUUUAUGUUUUCACAAAAAGUUCAAAAGUUUUGGAAAUUCUAUGUUUCGAAUUGUUUCACAAAACCCCUUCGAUUAAUUUUCUGCCUACAAAUUAUUGAUGUCAUAAAACAAAAUUUUCUCAAAAUAAGUUAACCUCUAAGAUGUUCUACCUUAUCACAACUUGCCCUAAUACGAUAUGAGGAAAUAUUGUUCCCCGUUAAUGAGGAAAUGUUACUUGGUGCCGUGCUUGUUGAUGAGCAUUUAAUAAUUAAAUUAAUUUUGAUUCAAAUUCUUGAAAUGAUAAAGAUUUCAUAGAAAAUUAUCUUUAUUCUCAUUCUCGUUUCAGAUAAUUAGUAAAUAUUUUAGUGAGUAUUCCUCAUUCCAAUCCUUUCACAUUUUGAUUCUGUUCUCUAUUGGUCGUACAAAACAUGGCAUAAAUGAGAAAUUAUACUUAGUAGAAGUACAAGUUUAUUUAAUCCGAAAAGGUUCCCUCAAGUUAUUAAGGCCUAAUGUUAACAUAGUUUACAUAAAUAUUUCUGAGGAACUGUCAUUGUCAUUGAUCUUCAACCUAGAAGUUCAAUGCACAUGCAUGAUACUGUUAACAGAAAUGCUUAAACAAAUUUCUGAACCAGAUUCUGAAUAGCAAGAAAUUCAUCCAUCAAAACAAAAAGAAAAAGAAAAAUCAUGAGUAAGCAAUAGAAACUGAAGGCUCACAAAUGAUAAUGCAUAGUGUUCCAUUAAAUACAGCUACAAUCAAUAAAAGCAUACAUAAUAACACAAUAGAUGAUCAAGUCCAAAAUGUACAAGUCCUACAAUCGGCAUUUCCAUCCCGGGAGCUGAAAAACGAGAGCUCGUGAUGGUCGGAGCAUUUGAGAAGGAGAUCACAAAACCGUCUCCCUCUCGGGUGGUCCAGCCUACCUACACAUAUGCUAUAUACCCUACAGACAUUAUAAUACUACCCACUAGCAACACAAAGCAUGAAACAGAUUGCCACUGCUGAAAGGCCUGAAAAAACAAGCAGCCUUUUGCAUAGCAGAUUGGCCUGGAGAGAGAGUGUGAAGGAAUAAAUGCAGGAAUUUAAAGGAACUGAAAGUCAGAACCAAAGUGAAUUUGAAGCUUCAAAGAUCCCUUGUAAGAAAAAGUCACAAGGCUUCUAGGAUCAUUGGCUGUGUUUAGAAAAUCUGCAACCAGCUGUGAUGAGAAAUUAGAAGAGGGACUGAGGACUAAACUGAUAAAGUAAGAAGUAAAGGAAGAAAGACUAUGUGAGUGGAGGAGUUUGAAAUGCAAUUUGGUAGGUGUUUGGAAGAUUUGUCAAGGGAAUUUUGCCUAAAACUACUUCUACAACCUAGAGGUGUGAGUGAGAACUGGGGACAGCCUAAAGACCAUAAUUCCCUUACCACUUUGCAGAGCUCAAUCUUUAGAAAGAAAAGAAUAAUUAACUUUUCAAUCUUGGUCCUUCCAAAAGAAGUUCUUCAAGGGAUAUGAAGAGGAAGAGGAGGAGGCCGAACCCGAGUGGUCUUGCUGCCUUUCAAGUUCAGGACAAAUGUUAUUAAAGUUCUGCUGAUUUGGAUUGGUAAAAGGGAGAUGUGAUUGCAGCAAAAGAUUGUUGUUGGUGUCCAAAUCAUCCCACACAGGACUUCCUGGACCCCAACCUGCUGGAAUUGCAUUCAUCCAAGCCUCUGCCAUAUCCCCCCAAACCAAUUCCUCCGGCUGUGAAUUACCUCCUCCUGCAGCAUUCAUAUUCGCCUGAAAUUCAUCACUCGUUUUAGCUUCACUUGACCCCAAUCCCGAAUCGUCAUCGGUAUUGUCUUCUUCGGUAUGUGCCUGUGGUGGCGGUGGUGGUGGCAUUGCCUCCGUAUUUGAAGCUUUAGGGUUUUUCUGAACUUUACGAGAUUGCUUACGGUUCCUGGUUGUGGUAGGCAUUGAACUUUCGUGAGCUGUUGGAGAAGUAGCUGUUGAGCUUGGAGCUGUGGAAACUGAUGUGUUGUCUUUAUUGAGGAACAGCUCAGGGAAAUUAAGCCUAGCAUUCUCUCCCCUCAACUUGAAGGCCUCGCGGUCAUAAGCCAUGGCAGCAUCUUCAGCUGUGUCAAAGGUGCCGAGCCAGAGGCGAGUCCUGUUUCGAGGGAGACGAAUUUCAGCUACCCAUUUCCCCCAAUGCCGUUGCCUCACUCCCCUGUAAAGCUUGGUAGUAUUAUAAGGCAUUGCCGGCGGUCGAAACAAUGGUCUUCCAUCAGGCCCCAACCUGUUCAUCAUCAUAACUCUCCCUCUUGGACUUAAAUUCAAAGCAUCACUCCAAUACUGGAGAAUUUGAUGCUGCUGCUGUUGUUGCCAAGUUGUUGAGUCUCCGAGAAAGGGCGGGGGAUAACUCAUGCCAUGUUGCUGCUGCUGCUGCUGCUGCUGAGAAGCAAAAGAGAUCAUUUGCUGCUGAUUUUGUUGUUGUUGCUGUUGUUGUGAAAAUGGUGAGGGGUAUAUAGGCACAGCUGUGGUAUUGAAUUGGUUGGGAAAUUGAACAGGCUGCUGAGAGCCAUCAAAAGCAAAAGGAAAAACUAUUCUUGAAGAUGAUGAAGAUGGACAAGGAGUGGUUGAUGAAGUUGCUUGAUGAGCUGAAGAAGCAGAGGAUUGAAUUGGGUCUUGACGUUCAGGGCUCUUGAUUUUCUUGAGAGGCCUCUUUGACAUCAUGGAAGCUUCAUUAAAACCCAGCUUCCAUGGCUGGCUCUCGAAGCUAAAACCAAGGUCCUUGUCUUCGUUAAUCUCCCAAUCCAGGCUUGUUUCCAUCUCGCUUUCCUCCACACCCUUCUUGGAUUUACCGCUUUUUUUAGCCGCAGCCAUACUUGCUGAUUUUACCUUCUCGCUUUCUUUCUGAAUCCAAGGCUCUCAAAUACAAUCCCAGAAGCCAAAAAGAGAUUGAGAUUCAAGAGAAUUUCAGAUGGGUCACCGAAGUAAAUACGCCAAGAAAAAACAAAACAAAACAAAAAAAUCGAUUCCGAUAAAAGAGAAGAAAAUUCAAAUAACCCAGAAACAAAUUUUGGCAAAGGAAUAAAAAAAAUACAAAGACUGAAUUUUGGAAUCUGGGUUUCAAUUUGAAAAGCUAAUCCGAUCGAACGAAAAACAGAAUCGGAUACCAAAAGCGCAAAAUCUUGAGGAACCCAUCUAAAUUCUCUGAAUGUAGAGCUUGAAUUCAACAAAGAGAACGAGCAGGGCACGGCAAGUAACGAAUAUGCGAGAGGUUGUUGAUGAAGUGCAGAGUGUUUGGGUGUGAAGACGAAAUGUUUUGGUGCGGCUAGAGAAAAGCAGAGGAGCGAGAACAGAGGAGUAUCUAAAAAUCUAUGUGAGGAGAGACGGAGCAGGAGAGGGGGGGUUUAUAAGAGAGGAGAUAAAGAUUUUGAAUAAAGACUUUUUGAGGAAAGAGAGAGAGAGAAUAUGUAGAAGUCUCGGGAUUGGUUGGCUCUGCUUGGGCCCCACACGGCUUGCUUUCCUUACUUACACUCCAAUUUCUCUCUGUACCCACUAACCACCCCCCAUCUGUCCUUCCGUCUGUUUUUAUCUGUAAUUAAAGCAAGGGGAUUUCACAAUUUGUUUUAAAAAAUAAAUAGAGUAAAGGAUUUACUAGUGUAGUGGUUUGAAAUAUUUAUUUUCUUAGGUAAAGUUCUGGAUUCGAAUCCUAGCAUUCAUAUUGUGUGUGUGAGUUUAAUAUGUUAUCGCCCCUUUCAAUAGAAAAGAUCCUAAAAAAAGAAAGAAAAAGGAAAUAUGUUGCUUGUAUCCGUACAGUUUAUGUGGCAUGUAUGUGUGUAUUGAGUGUUGCAAGUAUUUGACUGCUACAAAAUUAGCUUCACAAAACAUGUGUUGAAUUGAAUAGUAAGAUGAGUGAAAUCUUGUAGAAAGUACCAAAUGGCUUGAAUAAGUUGUUUGAAUAUUUAUCAUUUGCCUCAUUGGUCCCAUCCCGGUAGGAGGGGGGUGGGAUAAGAAGUCUAGAAUGUUGGACCCUCGUUCGAAUUAUGAGUUUUGAACAUUGCAUUCUAAACAUAUUCCCAACUCCGUGUCAACUCUUUUCUCAUUUUCUAAUUUGGGACUUGAGUUGUUCCUGGAAGAUUUAGGUUAGUUCUAGUUGCAUUUCUACAGAAAAAAGGCCUAUUUUAUUUUGCUUUUUAUUUCUUUUAAAUUUCCUUGCAGUAGUAGCACACGUGUUAUCAUUUCGUAGAAAUCGUAAUUUUGUCGAAUCAAAACUAACGAAAUGAAAACUGCAUUUCUCCAGAAUAAAAACUGUAUGUCACUAGACCAAAUGAUCAUUAUGCAUCUUACUUUCAUAAAAUCUCAUAAUUCGAUCACAACUCACGAAAUUCAUAAAAUCAACUUGAUUUCAUGUGGAUUCAUUUUAUGUAGUUGGAUUAAAUUGGAUACAAAUUUUGAAAUUUUUUAUUACAACUAUGUUUGGUAAUUUUAGGUCCGAUAAAAACAAAAUAAUUUUUCACAAAUAUGCCCAUUCUAGCAUGCCAUUUUAUUAUUAAAGUAAAUCAUUCAAGUUUGAUACUUGAGAAAAAUUUGUAACACAUAGGAACCAAUUAAAAAUUGAUAAGUGACAAAUUGCGGGCAUAUUUUAUUUUUAUUUUUUUCCCAAAUAGGCUCUUUAAAUUAUUUUAUUAAUAUUAUAAAAUAUUGUGUUAGAAUGAUCUAUUUAUGAAAAUCACCCCCUUAUAUUACAGUAUUCUUUACUUUUUCAAACUGCUGAUGGAGUAUGAUAUAAUAAAACAAGAUAUUGGGCUGGCAAAUGGUCAACCAAGUAGAAAUGAUCAUUAAACCCUAAACCCUAAACCCUAAAGAAAAGUUACGUCACCAAUUUUCCAACCCCAGCCGGCCAGCCCAAUCAUUUACCAAAAAUGAAGUUACUAAUAAUAAAGUUUCCAAGUAAAUAAUUUCAUAAUUGCUAUAAAAUAAAUAAAUAAUUUAAUAAUUAGGAUUUAAACAUGCUUUUAGAAAAAGAAAAAGAAAAGUUGAAGUCACUUCAAAGAGAUUUUAGACAUGCUUUUUUCUUUAAUUACAGAACAAAAAAUAUCUUCAGAGUUGUGAUACGUGGUCAAAUCUUUAUUAUGGUGAUUGGAUUGUGUGGUCAAAUUUUUAUUUAUGAUCACCUACCUCUCACAUACAGAGAGACGUUUAAGUAAUUUUAAGCGGUUUACUAAAAGAGUCCUAGUGAAAUUAAGGUUUAAUUUGAGAUUACUUUGAAAAUAAUUAGUUGUAAAGUAAAAUAAUUUUAUGUUUGAUAAACAAUAUUUUUAUAGUUAUUUUUAAACUCUUCCUAUAUCUAUAAUGUUAGAGUUUUUUUAAACAAAAUUUUUUAUAUAUUGUUCGUAUGACAUAUAUGCUAAUUCACGUGACAAAUACAACGUGCAAGUAAGCGAAAAAUGCGUCAAUCGGGCUGCUUAUCUGUAUACAUACUUUAAACCAACUGUUUUAGCAUGUCAAAGAAAAAUUUUAAAAAAAAAAAAAAAUUGCAUAAGCUCAGAGUGUUAAGCUAAUUAAUAAGCAUAAGCAUAUAAUGUAUGGGGUUUGUUUGUGUGAAACAAGUGAUCCACGACUCCUCCACGUUAGAGGGCUCUCACUUUCGGUGAGAGCCAUUAGAAAAUAAAAUUGUCAUAUCUCCUUUGUCGUUCCGUAAGUCAACAAACAUAAAACGGUUUCCUCAAAGGGGCGGUGAGAAUCGGCACGUGUCGGUGGUCCACUCUUCAUCUUUAAUCAUUUUCUUCUUUUUUUCUUUUUUUUUUUCUAUGAAUAUUUGUCCAAGUCCACUAAACAAAGUUGCUUGUCUUUUUACAAAUUAUCAUGCCCCAUCAUAGAUAUUUUGGGGAGUCUACAUAAAUUCAUAUUGAUGGUUGAAUGCUACGCGUAAAUUCUUUUAGUUUGAGAUUGUGAAUUUGCUCUGAUGCUAUUCUAGACAUUCAUUAAAUUAUAAAAUAAAAAAAUGAAUUACAGUAAAGUAAAUUGUUUAAAAGAAAAAAAGAAAGUAGCAAUAACAAUAACCUUCGACUUCCCCUAACCGUUUGUGAUACAUCCAUUGUUUAAGCAUGUAGGAUCUAACAUGUUUCUGAAUGUGUUAGAAAAUUCACAUAUGUGUUUUUGGAUGACCAUAUAGAGGUGUUGGCGAUGGUGAUUGAGAGCUUCUACUUUGGUUCUUUUAUAGGAAAUUCCUAAACUGCCUUAGAAAGUGAGUCUUUUAGUCGGUCUAGAGAUUUUCGAGGCCCAGGGCAUCAUUGAAAAAUAAUCAUGUGCACAAAUAACUCGACAAAAACAUGUUGUAUUAUUGUAUAUAUAAAUUUUAUAUUAGAAAAAAGUUGAAAAUUUUACAACCAUAAAAAUGAAAAAUCAGGCCUCAAAGAAAAUACCAUUUUAUUUUUGUACUAUCUAACUUUUUAUAUAUAAUCAGUCACAAGAGACAAUACAAAAAAAUAAAGUAGUAAAUAGAAGAAUCCAAAAUGCUGGUUUCCAAACUCCUUUUUAAUGUAAUCCAAAACUCAAUAAGACGUUCCACCAUUAAAGGAGUUUUUGAACAACUUUUACCAGUCGAAAAAUUUGACCAUCUUUAAGAUGAUUGGCCAGAAAAGAACAAAAACAAUCCCCCUUAUUAGACAUCUAUGUGCAUAAAUAAAAGAAGCUUCCUAAGUUGGGAAUGAAACGUGGCUUUGAUUCGUGCAUUUUGGUUGCUUUCACAAUCUAUCUAUAGAAAUGGAAGAUCUCUUCCUCCUCCCAAAAACCAUUUGGUUUAUGGACAAAGAAAGACUGGUCUUUUUCUUUGACCGCCUCUCCAACAGUAGACACAAUUCACCAACUUUUUCUGACUCUCUUGCCAAUGAAAUAAAGAGGGAUGCAUUCGCAUGUCAUGGCAUUUCUAUAGUUCUUGGCAAAAACAUGCAUAUAUAAAGUGUGUCACGCUCACAAAUGAUGGGUUCUUUCCUAUUAUGUGAUUCAAUAUGUACCAAUAUUAUUAUUCUUUGUAUGACUGACAGAGAAACAAACCUAAAUAUGCCAUUUUUCAAUACGAUUACAGAACUAUAUGCAUGCAUUAUUUGACUGAUAUUGAUGAGCCAAAUACAUCAAUUAUAGUGAGUGACGUGAAUCAUGUGUGGUCUAAUGAAACAUUGUAUCUGAAUAAAUUGUUUGGUUUUUGUACCAUAUUCACAUUAAAGCAUCCAAUUCAAGAUAAGGGUGUAUGGACUUCAAGCAUAAAAAGAGACCCUAUAUAUAUAGAGGAGGCAAUACAUUAAAAUUGUUGUACUAUAUAAAUUGAAAGGCUCUCAUUUUAAGCAAAGCUAGUUCGAAACUCCUACGGAAGCAUGCACCGUCAAAGUUGUAUAACAAUUAUUUCAUACAAUGACAGCAAAAUACAAAUUUAAAGAGAAAGAAAAGAAAAAAGGAUCAUGACAGAACUAGCACACAGAUCGAUCAUGCAAGAACUAACUUCCCACUAAUUAUUCUCUCUUUCUUUGUUUUUUGUUUUUGUUUUUUUUGUUGUUGUUGUUAUCGUCGUCAUCAAAGUUAGGAAGGAGAGGAUGCUGUUCAAGGGCAGAACAAUACUAAGGGUGUUGUCUUUGUCAUUUUACUUUUAUUUAUUUUUAUAUUACUUUAUUUACUUAAGUUUACAAUGUAAAUAGGGAAGCACCUCCCAUUUGGAUUCAAAUAAAAAUACUAGAAAAUCAAAUUCCCAUCAAAUCAAAAUAUGAAAAAUCGGUUUUAGUGCAAAAUCAAGUUUUCUUAUUUGAUGUGUAAGGAAUAAAAGCCGCCAAAAAUUAUCUUGAGAAAAUAAUUAUUCUGAAAAUCCAUUUUUCAAUAUUUUUACAUAAAACAACUUUUCAUGUAUGAUAUGAAUGCAUGAAUGAACCUAAGGUCAAUCUAGCUAAAAAGCCUUAGAUGUUCAAUCCACUAUGGUGUUAAACCCUAUUUGGUUUAUGUUAAAACUUAUUUAAAAUUAGUCUAUAGAGCUAUGAACUAGCUUGGUUUAUAUGAUUUAAUGUUUACUUUUAUUUCUAGAAAGACUAUAGAAAUUGUAAGUACCAAAUAAAAUAAUCAUUAAAUUUUAAGCUAAUAACUUUAGUUAGCCCAUCCGUUGAAAAAUUCCUGGUUCCGCCCUUGGUGCUGUUCUCACACACACACUAUCAGGUACAACAAAGGUUCGAACUUGAGACCAUUAAUCUGCACAUCAAGUCUUUUCCACUGAUUUACAAGUUAAGAUCCUUUCUCCAAUUGGGUACCCCAUUGACAAAUCCUACUACUUAUCCAUUGAUUGUCAGCCGGAAACUCUUGGGUAUUUGAUUGAUGCAUAUAAUUAGUCUGAAAAUUCACGUAACCCACAUAUAUAUAAAUAUAACAUAUAUUCUAUCAACUGAUAUAGUCAACCAAUAUAAUACUGAUGAGUGGUGGUGGUGAGUGCAUGAAAUGGUUCUCAUAUAUAUAAUGGAGUCCUCGUGGUGGAAAAAACCAUUGUAUUAAUUAGUGAAAUUCUAAAACAAAGACCCACCUAAUAGCCUAAUAUAAUAAACAAUCAUUCUAAUUAAUUACUUCCUUAAUUAUUAAUCAUAUCUUUUGUUUUUUGAUCAAGUUAUUAAUCAUAUCUUAGCCUCCAAACCUUUGUGCAAGCAAUGUCUAGCACAAUGUAGCUUGGACACGUGUCAUGCAUCCGAUAGUACAUACCUCAUUAUUUACACCACUCUUAUUAGUUAAAAAUGGCCAUUGACAGAGAAUGCAGGAAGGUGUGUUCUUCUGCCAUUGGCCAGUUAGAAAACAUAGGUUUCCUCGAAACGAAUUGAAGUGAAACCCUAGCUAAUUGGCCAAUUCGAGGAAGUGUUUUGCACUGACCAAAACGACAUCAUAAUCAUCCUCGGUGGCCCAUUUGGGUAAUGGCCUAAAUAUUUCAAUAAUAAAGUGUAUAUAUAUAUGCAUUUCAAAUUCUCGAUGCUCAGUUGAGGAUUGGUUAUGGCUGCAACAGGAUGGUGGUCUCCACACGCUUCCCUUUCAAGUUUCAGGGGUUUUGAGUGCAUGGCAAACACAAUCGUGAGUGUUUUCUGUACAGUUUCCUCCACCUUUGUGUGCAGGGGGUGGUUGACAAAGAUAAACUUCAGUAUAUAAUAUUGGAAGGCUGGAAAGUAAGAACAAACAGAUAAAUAUAACUACAAGAUAUUUAUUAUAUAACGACGACAAAAUAAAUACUUAAUUGAUCUCAUGUGUGGUGGGCAGUCUCCAAGAUGCAACAACCAUCUUGUACGAUUAGUUCAGAUGCAUCCCAUUGGUUUCUAUGAGAUGGAUAUUCUUAGGAAGAGUUCAAAAUGAUUCUAAUAUACCUUUAUUUAUAGGUUACAUUCUAACUUAUUUUAAAACUUCAAGGACCGGUAGUGUAAGGGUCUUAGAGCAUCUUCAUCUAUAAGGGUUAAAUCUAGGGUAAGGACAAGUAAGGGCUGCCAUUAUUCACAUGAGUAGUGUCAGCAUUGUCAUUUGUGGUUCCACCCAUGAGGGUUAAGUCUAGAAUAAGUCUAAGGCAAAUACUAUUCAUUGUACUUUAUUUCCUAUUUUUUUAUACUUUAAACCAUUAAUUUUGAUAAUCUUUUGUAAUUAAAUUUUCGGAUAAGAUUUUUGGUUAUCACGCGUCCAUUAUUUUUCAGAAAAAAUUUUCGGAUGAGAAUCUCGGUUGCCACGUGUCUUAUUACAGAUAAAAAUUUCGGAUAUUUAUUUAAAAAAAUUAUAAUCUCAGAUUUCAGAUAAGAUUUUCAACCUCUAAAAUUGUGCCAUGUGUCCCAUAUCAGAUAAGAUUUUCAUAAUUAAUUAACAAAUUAUAUUCUUAGAUUUCAGAUAAAAUUUUCACCAUUUAAAAUUGUGCCACGUGUCAUCUCUAUCUUCAGAACCAUAAUUUUCAGGAGACAUAUGGCAUUUCCUGAACGUUCAAACAUAUGGCACCGAACCAUGAUUCUCAGAUUUCAUAAUUAAUGCACGAAAUUUUUUUUGCCUUGCCCCGUGGCACCGAACCACAUUUGUGCUUGUAUGAUCUAUUAAAAAUAAAUAAUUGGAAGUGCAAGAAAAAAAAGAGUGAGUGGAGAAUUGGUGUAGAAAGUAAAUAAUGUGAGUGGAGAGUAAAAAAUAUUGGAUGGAGAAGAAAUUGUAUGAAGAUUUGGUGUGGAAAGUAAAUAAAAUGGUUAGGUAUUUAUAGGGAAAAAAUUCAGAAUUUUUUGGUAUUUUUUUAAAAAAAAUUCAGAAUUUUGUCGAUUUUUUUUAGCCAAAAAAACAAGGACCGUCGGAUUUCUGGAAAAAACAAUCGGAGCGUCUCUAUUGCGACACGUGGCACAUGCCCGUUAGAUUCUAUCAGGACUGACGUCAGCGCGCGGAAGUCAAAUUUUUUUUACCGUUGGCUCAUGGGCUCCAGCUGAAGCCCAGUCGAAACUUGCCCUUGGGCCUGCCUGGGCUAGUGGGACCCAGUUCUUGCCCGGGCUUCUUCUCUCGCGCUGGAGGGCGCUUGGGCUCACCAAGGGGGCCUUUCCCCCAGUUUGGGUUGCGCGCUAGAGAUGCUCUUAUAGUUCAAGUGGUUUAAAGUAUUAAUUUAUGUAAUCAAAACUCUAGGUUUGAUUCUCCCCUCCUCCAAUAUCGCCUAUCACAAAAAACUUCUAGGACUAAUUGGACUAAAGCAAAGAAUCCAAUUAAUAGUUGGCUGGAGGACUAAUAUAAAGAAUCUAAAUAAAUGAACAAUUCAAUAGUCCAAUAAAAAAGAACUUAAAAACUAAAUAUUUUUAAUUAAAAAGAAAAAUUUGCAUAAAUACCACAUGAACUAAUAAGGUUGUGAGCAGUUAUCACCCAAUGGAACAUUUUCGACAGUUUGCUACUCAAAACUUCACUAUUUCAUCUAAUUUUUUGUAAAAAAGUUUCAGUUAUACAUACAAACAUGUACAUGUAGUCAAAUUCAAAUUAGUCAUAAUUUUAAUUAAAUCGAAAUAGCUAACUGAACAAAAACCGAAAAUAAUUCAGAAGUAUAGAAAUUGAACCAAUUGAAAUAUACUAUAAAUCACCCAACUGAAAAAUAGCAAACCAAACAAUUAUGGAAAUUCUUUGAUUAUUUGGUUUUGGUAAGCCCUAUCACAGAUUAUAACCCGCCAAAUGACAAGCUUAAAAAUGACAAAGUCCAGGAAUUGUAAUCAAGCGGCGGAUCAUCUUGCGUCGCUGGCACUAUCGAGGAGGAGUACGGAAGUUUGGGUUGAAUGGCCCCCCACCUCUCUUGUGCACAUCCUUUGCAAGGAUGGACUCCCUUGUCCUCACCAUGCCUAAUUUGACUGUUGAUUGGUCUUGAAUCGUUUUAACAUCCUUAUGGUUGGAUUGUUUUUCUGGCGCUUUUCUUCUUGAUCAGUCUAAAUGUGUUGUUUGUUUUCUGGACUCUUUACGCAUUGUCUGUUUCCUUGCAUGGACAGACUUGUUUCCCUCUGUAUGGGCGUGGGCCUUUUGUUUAGGGAUUUCUUGUGCUUUGAAUAUAAGAUAUUUUCGACCAAAAAAAAAAAAAAAAAGACAGAGUCCCCCUAAUCAACAUACCGAAGAAAUUUAGUACCCCAUUUCACAAGUAAUAGCUUUUAAUAUAUGAUAAAAGCAGCCAUCUUCACUUCUAUAAAUCUAUCUUGACCUCGUCUGCUUGACAAUGUAUACAUGGUAUGCGCCCGAUCAAAAGGGGAUGACAACAGUAGAAAAAAAAAAAGAGAAGGGGAACAAAAAUAGUUCAACAAAGAAAUAAGAUUUAAAAAGAGAAUGUAAUGCCAACGGGAUCUAAUAUAAUGAAAAAUAGCCUUGAUUUGCAGAAUAAAGGUCUCACAUUCAAAUCCCCACAGUAUCAUAGUUGUGUGUGUGUGUGAGAAAUCUCACUCCCAUAUAGUUUAAACUAUCGCUUGUACUAAAAAAACAAAAAAAAAACAAAGAGAAUGCAAUGAAUGAUAGGCCUGCGAACAUGGAGGCCAGGCAAUGUGUAUACUGUUGAAUGUAGACCCAUCACGACAUGUAGGCCCAAAUGUAAGGGCCUUCUACCAUUUUUCUAUUGGACCUAGUAUUUCUACAAGAAUUGAUUUGUCUUGAGCCCAUUACCAAUACAAGAGGCCCACAAUCUGGCUUUCCACCUUUCACUAACUAUAGAUUGAUUAGAAAAAACAUGUCUUUCUGCCGCAGAUGCAGCAACAUCCACACAACUUCCACUUGUUGCUUUACUUAUCUAUAAUGCAUGAUUUAUGGCGUAAAUGCAUUUAAUCCACACUUUUGAAUUUUGUCCUCAUUAUCCAGCAAAAAAUUUCCCCACUCUGAAUAUUGACAGGCUUUUGUAAUUUCUUUUGGGUGUUGAAAUGCCCUUUUUUGAAUGGCAAAUGUUUGUGUAGAUGUGAGUUAAGUCAGUUGAUUAAGAUAGUAUAUUCACUUUCUUGCUCCAGAAUUCGAUCAUCCUCCCCACACAUUAGAGUAGUUUAAAAUAUCACUUUGUUGAAAAUCAAUAAAACAAUAUGACAGAGUUCUUUCCUUAGAAUGAGCCUUUUCUCAGUCAUUGGGCCAAUUUCUCUCUCUCUCUCUCUCUCUCUCUCUCUCUCUCUCUCUCACCAGGCCAUUGCUCAAUGAACUUAUGCCAGAUCACUGUGCUCUCAUAUAUUAUUUCAUAAUCGGGCAAUGUUUUCCUGGAAGUCCUGGUGUUGCAUCCAAUCCGUUAAUUGGUCAACAAACUUCUUUUUAGGAAUUGGUGAAGUAAGGUGAUUUAUGACCGUGGCAUAGACCGAAGCGAAUUGUUCCCACCCCUAUUAUUUAGUUGUUUUUCAUUCGACAAGAAAAUAUGGUGAGUGAUAAAGAAAAAAGAACAACUAAAUGUGAUAAGUAGCACCACAACUUUACCACUAGCUAUAAUCACCUACCAAGUGAAGAAACAUUCUAUCUAAUCUUUUACAUACAUAUUCGAUUUCUUGUUUGACGCUGGAAUUAACCUUACCCUAAACCGUUAUAUGUUUAAUACGAACUACCACUUCAGUAAAGGGUCUACUGUAAAAAGUGAAAAGUUACCACCUAACGAAAAGUAAAAGUGAAGAAUUACCCAUAUAGGAUUUGAAAGGAGGAACGGGGUCUAUAACAUAAAGACAACAUUCUAGGAUGAGAAGGCAUGGCAUGAAAAAGACCGCAAGGGAAAAACUGACCAAGAAAACGGUGAACCACCAUCACUCAUUCACGCUCUCCCUUGGAUUAGAUAAGAUAAUGGAGCGCCUUCCACGUGGCACGGUCAUAGUGGUGCCUAGCGAUAAGGCUAGCAUUCAAAAUGUUCCUCUGCUUCAUGUGGUCUACAUGGUGUAAUGUCAGCAUUUUUAUGAUCCAAAGGUCCAAAUUUGAUUUCAGUAAAGUAAAUGGAAUUUGGACCCUAGGAUGUGAAAUAGCUAGUCAGACCACUAUAUAUAGGAAGGGUGAACAGAAGCUGUGCAACUCAACUGAAAAGUAAAGACCUCUAGCAAAGAAGAGGGCUAAAGAGAGCACAGAGCAAUGGCUUCCUCCAUGAUUUCUUCAGCUACCGUGGCUUCGGUUUACGCUGACCGUGCCGCCCCGGCACAAGCUAGCUUGGUUGCACCAUUCACUGGCCUCAAGUCUGCCUCAGCUUUCCCCGGCGCCAAGAAGACCAAUGACAUCACCUCCAUUGCAAGCAAUGGUGGAAGAGUGCAAUGCAUGAAGGUAAGACUACUUAUCAACAUGUUGCUACAAUUAAUUUACAUUCAAAACAAUAUACCCAAAUGCAUGUUGAAGUAACUACUUCACGAGGAACCGAAAUACAUAACUUGUGAAUAUACAAAUGAAUUGUCUGAAUUACAGUCUGAUAACUUAACAUGUCGUAAAAAAAUACAAUUUUUUUCAUAAUCGUAGCAUAUUUACAUACCCACUAUUAACUAUAAUUAAAGAAAAUGUAGUUUAUUUCCAAGCUUACCAAUCCUUUCGUGUGCUUCCUGGCCGCUAAUUAGUAAUAGUUCCUCUAUUUUUUUGGCCAAGAAGGUACUAAUCGAAGUACUAGAACAUCGAUUUAUCGAAUAUUUUGAUUGAUACAGGUGUGGCCUACAGUUGGACUGAAGAAGUUCGAGACUCUCUCCUACCUUCCACCACUCUCUCCUGAGUCUUUGGCCAAGGAAGUAGACUACCUUCUCCGCAAGAACUGGGUUCCCUGCUUGGAAUUUGAGUUGGAGGUUAAUAAUUUCUUUUUAUAAACUUAUUUAUAUAUGUUAGCUUCAUGUAAUAUUUGUUUGCUGACUUAAUUUUCUUGAACAAAAUUGUGGUUUUAUAGAAGGGAUUUGUGUACCGUGAGAACCACAGGUCACCAGGGUACUAUGAUGGAAGGUACUGGACCAUGUGGAAGCUGCCCAUGUUUGGAUGCACAGACUCUUCCCAAGUGUUGAAAGAGCUCGAGGAGGCCAAGAAGGCUAACCCCAACUCUUUCAUCCGUAUCAUCGGAUUCGACAACGUUCGUCAAGUGCAGUGCAUCAGUUUCAUCGCCUACAAGCCUGCAGGCUACUAAUUUCAAGUUUCAUGAUUUUUAUUUUAUGUUGUUUGUGGCUUGUUAGCCAAGGGUCUCGGUGGUUUGUUUAAGUCUGUACUUAAUUAGGCCUUUCAAGACCUUUGUUGGUUUCUUUUCUUUCCCUUUUUCGAGACAAUUUCCUUUGUUUUCGAAGUUGGUGUUUUUCGGAUUCAUAAUGUGGUGGUGUUGAGAAUAUUCAUGAAUAAAAUGAUAUCCGUAUUUUAUUUUCAGUCCGAAUAAAGCUACAUGUAGCAUGUUUAUUAAUUACAUUACUAAUUACAUCUCUCAUCUCUUACUAAGACAUACACUCACGCACAUGUUUAGAGGUGUGGUGAACAAUGUUAUUGGUAAUAAUGUAAUAAUAGUUUUAUUGUUUUCUAAUUAGGAUUUUAAUUCAGUUUCUAAUUUCCUUUAUGAGUUUGGGAAUGUACACAGAUGAUGGUGAAUUAUACUGGGGAAAGUUGAAAUUUGUUCUGAAGAUUACUCAAGGUGAAUAAGAUCUCUUCAAUGAUUUUCUCAAAAAUACUUCUCUUAAAUGCAAUUGUUCAUGAAAACAAUUCAAGUUUGAUAGCCAGAUAAGUAACUAAAGUAAGUAUAAAAUUAAAAAUUACCAACAAAUUGCAGUAUUUGUAUGUACCCAAAAGGAAAAAACAAAAGCUUUCUCAAGUCUGUUUAAAUUGGAUAUAUUCAAACAAGAUAUACAACUUUUUAAGUUCAAUUUUACGUUUUCUAUUGAAGCAUGAGCUUAUAACUAAGCAGAACAUUAAAGUCGUUAACCACGUCAUAAGCCUUCAGGUUAUAGAUGGGUACCAAAUUACAAAAUCACAACAUAAGCUCAGUCCCAUUUUGAUGGCACAUUUUUUGAGCCAGAAUUCAGCUACUAAUUGCUAACUUAAUUUUUGCAAUAUUUCUUUAUUUUUAUUUUGAAAUUCAAUAAAACCUUCUUCAAGCACUUGCGCUUCUAUCAAUUUCGUAUCACACAUUUUUUCAAUUGACCGACUAGUUUUCUUGGACCCUAGAUAGCUACACUUAUGGACAUGCAUUUCUCCAGAUAAAGAAAAAGAUAAGCUGGGUCAUUUCAAAGUCGCCGCACUAAAAUUACAACUUUACCCUAAACCCUAUAUUCAUAUCCACACAGAAAUUUCGAAGCUGGCUUCCAACCGUGUUUUGUGUUUACACGAGCUUGAUGACGACCCUCUAGAUGAAAUUAGUGAUUUGUUAAAGAAUGAAUCAAUCUGGUGUGAAAUGACCAAAGUCAGUUGUCAUGCAAAGCCAGAAGAAGAAAAAAAAUAAUGGACAAUCAUGUUAAAAUAUGAAAAUUAUGAGAGAACUAUGAGAGAAUAUUUGUUUGUGGGAAUUUUCUGUGUAUUCUUCUCCUUGUAGGAGGUCUUAUUUAUAAUACAACGAAACCUGAAUGGACAAGUAAAUAAUAAAUUCCUAAAUCUAUUUACAGUAAAAAAUCAUGAAUUAAAGUAAAUCAAUUACAAUUAUAAUAGGAAUUCUUGGUGUGUAAGGAAAGUAAGUCAAUAUCCACAAGUCACGCCAACACUCCCCCUCACGUUGGUGCAUAGAUGUCGCUAAUGCCCAACUGAUCCAGUGAAUUGUGGAAUGUUUUACUGGAAAUCGCCUUUGUCAAAAUAUCUGUCAAUUGAUCCUCGGAUUUCACAAAAGGAAACUGAAACACUUUAGCCUCAAGCUUCUAUUUGAUGAAGUGUCGAUCCACCUCAACAUGUUUAGUACGAUCAUGCUGAAUCGGAUUCUGCGCAAUGGUUAUAGCAGCCUUGUUGUCACAAAAGAGAUUCAUUGUGGAUGUAGGUUUAUACCUAAGUUCAGUAAGCAACUUUCUUAACCAAAGAAGUUCACAAAUCCCUUUAGUCAUGCCUCUGAACUCGGCUUCUGUACUGGAUAAAGCUACUACAUUCUGUUUCUUGCUUCUCCAUGUCACCAAAUUACCUCCCACGAAUGUGAAGUAACCCGAUGUGGAUUUUCUAUAUGUUACAUUACCUGCCCAAUAUGCAUCUGAAUAACCAUCAAUAUUUAGAUGACCAUGCUUUGAGAACAUAAGUCCUUUUCCAGUUGCAGACUUCAAAUAUCUAAGUAUCCGAAGAACUGCAUUCAUGUGGUCUUCACUUGGAGAGUGCAUAAAUUGACUGACAACCCUCAUCGCAUAAGCAAUGUCUGGUCGAGUAUGUGACAAAUAGAUCAAUCUUCCCACUAACCUUUGGUAUCUUUCUUUGUUAGUUGGAACUUGAUCCGGAUAUUCUCUAAGAUGAUGAUUCUGAACAAUAGGAGUGUCUGCAGGUUUACAAUCUAGCAUUCCUGUGUCUGUCAACAAGUCCAAGACAUAUUUCCUUUGAGAGAAAAAUAUGUCUUGCUGCGAUUGAGCCACCUCAAUUCCCAAGAAAUACUUGAGUCUACCUAGAUCCUUCAUCUCAAACUCCGUAGCCAGAUAGUCUUGUAGCUGUGAUAUUUCCUGUUUAUCAUUCCCAGUAAUAAUCAUAUCAUCAACAUAGAUUAUUAAUGUUGUUACCUUCCAUUUUCAAUGUUUCAAGAACAGAGUAUGAUCUGAGUUGCACUGUUUGAAACCAUUGUUCUUCAUUGCCAUAGUGAACCGUCCAAACCAUGCACGUGAUGACUGUUUCAAUCCAUACAAUGGUUUAGUGGCUUACCACGAUUUUGCCUGAAAGGUAAUUGAUAUCCAAUAGUUUUAUCAUCUAAAUGCACAAGUCUAGAAGGAGUAGUUACCUCAAGGAUAUUCUCAGAAGAUUGGUCUGUUGGUACUGUUGAGUUAGAGGGGGGUCUUCAUCUUGUUGUUUUGUAUUGUCUGUAGGUGUGAGACUCGGAUCAGAAGUUUCUUCGCAUGGAUCAGGUGGGUUAGGCAAUUGAUCGCUAUGAAUGGGCAAUUGGUAGUUUUUCGACAGAGAGUAAUCUCAUGCUCCAGACUCGGGAUGAUCAAUCAUUUCUGUACAGAGGAGAAUUUCUUUGUUUUUCAAGUUGCUCUAAUUCUGCUCUUCACUUUGUAUCUCCCCCUGAAGCGUAGAAUUGGAUGAUGGGUCAUGGAAGAACAGCUCAUAUUCUAGAAAGGUCACAUCCAAAGUAACAUAGGUUUGUUGGGUAGGAGGGUGAUAACAGCGGUAGCCUUUCUGAUGAGUGACAUAACCCACAAAAGCACAACGAAGCGCAUAGGGAUCAAGUUUGCUACAUUGAUUUUUGUGGACAUGAAUGAAAGCCACACAUCCAAAGAUUCGGGGUGUGAGUACCAAAACAGAGGGCAGAGGUCUGUGUUACGCAAGCACUUGUAAGGGAGUUUUAAAGGUCAAUACACCAGAAGGCAUGCGGUUGAUCAGGUGAACUGCGAUGAUAAUAGCAUCAUCCCAGUGAUGGUGAGGAACAUGAGCGCCAAUCAGAAGUGCUCGAGCAGUUUCAAGAAAAUGUCGAUUCUUUCGUUCAGCAACACCAUUUUGUUACAGUGUCUGAGGACAAGUCGUCUCAUGGAUAAUUCCAUAUUGUUGAAGGUAAAUCUGAAAGUCAUGAUUGACAAAUUCUCCACCAUUGUCUGAGCGAAGAAUCUGGAUUUGAGCAUUAAACUGGGUUUUCAUCUGUUUGUGGAAGGACUGAAAACCGGAAAACACUUCGUUUUUAUUCUUCAGCAAAUAAAGUCAUGUCAUCCCUGUACAAUCAUCGAUGAAUGUGACAAACCAUCGAACACCAGAAGGAGCAGUGAUAGGCGAAGGUCCCCAGACAUCAGAGUGAAUUAACGUAAAUUGAGUAGUACACUUGUUCGUACUCAAUGAGUAAGGCACACGGUGACUCUUGGCCAAAAUACAAGUAUCACAUAUGAAGUCAGAGUCCUUGAAACCUGAGAAUAAAUCUGGUAUAAGAUGCUUCAUAUAACUAAAAGACGGAUGUCCUAAUCGACGGUGCCACAACUAGAUUUACUUUUGUUUGCUAUCAAAGGGAUGUGUCACACUGUUAGCCAUGCCGGGACUGAAGUCAUUGACAUAAUAUAGCCCCCCUUUCUUAGUACCACGACCAAGAAUCUCUUUAGUGUGAAUAUCCUGAAGCAAACAAAAACUCGGGUAAAUGAGUACACAACAAUUCAAUUGUUCAGUAAGCUGACUAACUGACAACAAUUUAGUGGAUAAAGAUGGAACAAGUAAAGUAUUAGACAGUGUGAGAGAGGAUGAGAGUGCAACAGUGCCAGCCCCUGUCACAGGAUAAGUAACACCAUUGGCAUUUGCAAUACAGGUUCGUCGAGGUUGUGUAGUAUUCAGAAAAUCAUCAGGAUCAAACGUCAUAUGAUCAGUUGCACCGGAAUCAAUUAUCCAGCUCCUAGAAUCAAUCUUAUCGGAAGUAUGGAAUCCAUAACCAGUACCAUUACUGGUCAUAUUGCAUUGUACUUGAUCUGUAAGAUAGCCCACCAAUCGGGAUAGCCAUGCAAUUUAAAACAAGUCUCACAAGUGUGUCUCGGAUCACCACAAUAUGUGUAAUCUGGUCCAUGUGUCGGGGUCGUUAGUCGAGAAGUCAUAAUCUGUGCAGGGAAGAUACAUAGGAUACAGGUUGAAUAGGAAUUUGGAUCGGAAUCUGAGCCUGAGUCGGGGCAGGAGUCGGAGUCGAAAUCGAGAUUGGGGUCUAAAUCAGAGACAAAUUCAGGGUGGGGGUCAUCAUCUGAGUGGGGGUCGGGGUCGUCUUCGUAGUCGGGGUCGGGGUCAGGGUCGUCAAAAGAUGAUCCUGAUUCUGGAUCGGGUUCAGGGUCAAAGUCUGUAUCUGUAGGAGCUAAGCCAUCUAGCCACUCAACUCAACGAUGGUUGGUUGAGAAUGAGAGAAGGAGUCGGUGGUGCUACCUCCAUGAGGGUUGAAAAAAUCAUCGACCCCCAUAGCGGCGGCGGGGGUUUGAAGCUAGAGUCAGCAAUUCCAAAAUUUGGCUCUGAUACCAUGCUAAAAUAUGAAAACUAUGAGAGAAUAUUUGUUUGUGGGAAUUUUCUAUGUAUUCUUCUCCUUGUAUGAGGUCAUAUUUUAUAAUACAACGAAACUUGAAUGGACAAGUAAAUAAUAAAUUCAUAAAUCUAUUUACAGUAAGAAAUCAUGAAUUAAAGUAAAUCAAUUACAAUUAUAAUAGGAAUUCUUGGUGUGUAAGGAAAGUAAGUCAAUAUCCACAAGUCACGCUAACAAAUCAUUGUGUUAAAUUAAUUAUCCAAAUCGUUCAAUCUUUAUGUUUUUUUUUAAUGAUUAUUCAUGUAAAAAAUAAACUAAAUCGGAAAUUGUUUAGACAUUUAGGUACGUAGGAUGUGUGCACUUUUCUUACAUGAAAUAUAGGAAUUGAAAGAAACCCAACUGUUUUAAUCCAAAGGGAAGGCUAAAUCUCAUGAAACCAAAAAGAAAAAGAUUUGUGUACGAAUCGAAGGAAAUAAAUGAAAAUAUGCUUGAAAGAAGUAAUCUUACAACAGGAAUGAAUAUCAUGGGGAAUGAAUAAACUUCACAAUACUCAAAGAAAAUCUCAUUGUGGUGUGAAACUUAUUCUGUCCUCAACGGCUCAUUUCUGAUGUUUUCCAAGAUAUAGUAGCCUGAUCUAUUUAUAGUGAAAUAUGACAAAAUUUCCAACAAAAUUAUGGAAACAUAAUUAAUUGUAUCCACUAUUGGGAUAUUUUUUACAUAACAUUUAUAAAUUUUCCUAUAAAAAAAAUAAUAUUUAUAAAUUUGAUAAAUAUACCUAGAUGCGAAUGUUACGAUGUUGCAAAAUUAAAAUUUUUCCCAUAUUUAAAAAAUUCAUGUUAUUCACCAACCACCAUAACUCUAGUGGCAAGUGUACUUAUUAAUAGGAAUGAGGGAAGUUAUGAAUCAGGAAAAUUAAGAAAGGGAAUGAGGAAUUGAAAUUGAAAUCGGAUCAACUACUCCUCUAGUUGAUUUGAUUUCUAAUUUUAAAGGUAUUUGAUGAUGAAUUUUAACAAUAUUGAGAAGCUGAAGUUCUAACAAUUAAAUGGACAACCCUUGAUGUAUUAUUACAAGUCGUGGUAUACCACAUAUUUCUUUGGCAUAAGAAAAUGAUGAAGCUUGAUUUUAUCACACCUCAAGAAGAAAUAUAUUUUGUGAAUCUUGGUUGUUAAAGAUUCACCGUGAAAUGAAUAAUAUCAUGAUAAACCUUAAAGGAUGAAAUGAGACUCCCCAUAUUUUGUUAUAUUAUAUGAUCUGGGCCGAAAGCCCAUGGAUCCCAAUAUGUCAAAAAUCCCAAACCUGAAGUUUUGGGUAUAUAAUAGUUCAUGCUCUUCACUACUAUAUUGCAAUAUUAUCAUGGCUUUUCCUCAAUUUAUAUUUCAUGCCUAUUUGAAAAAGGCAAUUAAAUUAUGAGGUUGUAUUUAACCCGGGCCAGAAGUUCCUGGCACACAUGCGUUGAAAUAUAUAAUUUGAGAGAUUUAAUGUGAUCAUUUUGAAAAGACGUACAGGUGCAAGUUUAUGAAUUUGCCCAAUUAUUAUUAACAGAAAGAGAGUAUACAACAGUUAAAUUGUUUUCAUCUGCAAGAAAUAAAGCAGACUUUGUAAAAUCUAUCAAGCUACAUUAUGGCUUAGAAGUUCCGGAAGAAAGAGAACAUCGCCUCUUGAGCUUAGACAUGAGCCUUUCUUGGUCUUUUAGAAUCUUUUGAUUGGAAAUCUGCAACAUGUCGAAUUUUGUCUACGUAUCUAUUGAGUAUGAACUCACCAGUUUAAACAAAGUUUUAUUUUCCUUUUUAAGGUUUUCAACCUCUCGCUAAGAAUUAUGAAGCAUUCUCCGAAGAGAUGAAUUUUCAGUCUUCAGCUCCUAAAUCUUGUUUGCUUUGGCAAGCAAAUGAUGAGCCAUGUUAGAAACAAAAGCAGCACUCUGAAUGCUAAAAGCCAUUGAGUCAUCAAUAACCUUUUUGUCAAACCUUCCCAUUAAUAAUAUCUCAUCCAUUGGAGUAAGGAAAUUCCUAGCUACUAUGAUAGCAGUUGUAUCAUUCAUCAUAACAGAAUCAUUAACCGUGGGAUGACGAUUUUGGGAUACAAAGGAUGGACGCUAGACUUUGGCGUCAUGAGUUGUUUUAGGAGCAAUAUUUAAAUUGAAAUGUUUUGGGCGAGAAGAAGAGGAAGUCAUUUUAAAGGUUUCGAGGAAAGUCUUAGAAAAGCUAAACUUUCAGAAAAUGGAAGGAAUUUGAGUUAUUCCAAUUAGGUCAUACAAAGACAAUAUCUAUAAGUAAAAAUGUGGCAAUAUUUCUAGGAUCCCAAUAUUUCCUUUUACUUUUCCAAAUUCCAAAACUUCACGUGGCUUUCAUUAAUGUCUGUCGGCACUUUAAUAGUUUCAAGGACUAUUUUUGUCAAAUUGAUCUUCCUUUUAUGGAUUUCACGGUGUCACUUUUUCAAAAGUGUCUCGAGAACUUCAAAAGUUUUUGUAGUUAAUUUGAAAUUUAACAUCUCACACUAUUCCUUUUCUUGUGUAUAAAUAUGUUACUAACAAACUUCAUUGCAGAUCACAUCUUAUCCAAAUGAUAGAAUAUCAACUUGUUUUUCCUAUUAGCGAGCGCUUGAUGUGCUUGAGAAGCGAAACUAUCUCUGAUCAUUUCUUUAGGAAGCGAGACUAUCCCUAAUCACGCCUCCUGUGAUCUCAAGGGACUGUAGGGCAGUUAAGAACGAGCACAUCGCUCUAAUCUCCUGAAGUUCUCCUAGGCUAGGAGAAAUAAGAGUUUGUUGUCUGUUACCUCACCUGUUUCCUACCCUAAUUGCUUACCUACCUUGCAAUCAAUAUCACAAUUCUUUGUAUCUUUUCUUUCUUUUUAUAACUCUCUGUUCCUAUGGGAUUUUGUUUCUUUAUAACCUUCAUUUGAAGAACAAAUCCAUGUUUGAACCUAACACUUAGGGUUAUUUUUUUGACAGGGAUGAAAGAAUUAGGAUUUUUGCUCUUGCAAGAUAUAACUAGAUCAUCAAGCAUUUCAUUAUAUUUGCUGAGCCGAUACGAGCUUGAGUGAUAUUUGAGCAAAGUUUCUCUCAACUAAGGAUGUAAGCAAUACUUGUAUUAUUUCAUGUUUGUACUCUCAUUAGUAUUUUGAUAUUUUUUACGAAAUCCUUAGUGGUAACCAAAUGAGGAGAUAAGACCGUUCUAGAAAAAUGACUUGUAUCAUGACCAUUCCAGAAGAAUGGCUUGUAUUCAUGAAUUAUUAAUGCAAAUUUUACAAAUUGCAAGUUGACUACAUUGAUAAUACAUUGCAUUAAAGCCUUAGAAGAGCAAAAUAUGGGUAUAGCAAUGAUCAAUAUGAUAGACACCUAUUUUGUGGCAAAUGAUAUGGAUUAAGGUCCUGGAAAGACAAUCCAUUAACAUGUCAAUAUUAAAAUAAUGCACGCCUAAUACGUAGCAAAUUAUUUGGUUUAAAGUCCCAAAAGGACAAUUCAUUAACAUGUAUGUAUUAAUCUGUGGCAUAGCUGCAACAUGACAGAUAUAUGGGUUCUAAAUAUCUCAACUCUCUAAAUGGAGAUUAUCCACGCCCUAUUAUAAAAUAACACUCCAUUGGAGGUUAUGAUCUACAUUCUCACAUAAUUCAUCUUACAAGAGAUGUCUGUUUGGAAAAAAAAAACAAUACAAGCGCACCUGGAGUGGCUUGGGUACCCAAAAGCAAAGAAAUACUUAUAAUUGAUGCAAGCACAUGCACAUGAGAAUGGUGGGAUCACAAAUUGAUGAAUGACAAUUUUUGAUUUUAGAGUAGCUACUCAAAUCUAGGGGUGGGCACUCAAACCGGCGAACCGGAAAUCCGAGCCGAACCGUACCGAACCAAACCGAAAAAACACCGAGUUGACCAAAAAGUCAAAAACCGGUCAAAAACCGAACCGGACCGGUUUGGACCGGUUCCGGAUCCGGUUCCAUGUCUUCAAAAACCGAACCGGGCCAAACCGAACCGGUGAAACUAAAAAAAUAUAUAAUUUCAAUAUAUAUUUAUAUUUAAUGCUAUAUUUUUAAUUUCACUAAAAAAAACCUAAUAUUUAUCCAAGUUCAAUGUCAAAAUAUCUCUCUUUUCUUACUUUAAUAUUUAUUUUUUAUAUGAAAUUGAGUAAUUUGUUAAUUUUCAAGUAAAAAAAUAAUAUUUCAGUUGAGAAUUGUAUUAAAAAACAAUUUAAAAAAAUAAUUUUUAUAAUUCGGUUCAAAACCGAACCGAAACCGGAACCGGACCGAAACCGGUUCAAACCGAACCGGACAGUUUUUGAAAUUUUUUUUAUUAAAACCGAACCGAACCAAACCGGAUGAAUAGUACCAGAUCGGUUCUACUUUUAGGCAAAAACCGGUCCAAACCGAACCGUGCCCACCCCUACUCAAAUCAUCAAUGAGCUUUGUUGAUUGGAACCACGUUCUAUUAUUAAAUGUCGACAAAAUCAUUGGCUAAAAUGGAAAAAGGCCAUUCCAUUACAGAUCAGAAUGAACGUGGAAGAACAAACCUAUAGUAUGAACCCCAAAAAGAUGUUAGCAUUGCAGGUUAUACAUAGGUGUUCGAGAUAAAGAGUAAUACACUCACUUUAUAUGACACAAAUGUUUCUGGUAGAAACAAGGAAUAUUGAGGUUCUCCAUAUUUACACAUGCAAUCGUGGCUUCUUAUUGCAUAUUUACGGAGACCAACAUGCUAUCUUUAAGGGUUAUUAAAUGCAUGGAAGCAUAUCACUAGAAGUGAUUCCCUGAAGAUGUAUAAGAGGAAUAAAUAGCUGAGUAUAAAGCUAUAUUGUGUGUCAUGAAGUGUAAUCCCUUAAAUUAAAUACCUGAAAGAUUAAAAUUGGAUGAAGCAAGUCUUUAAAGGACACGUGCCUGAAACACAAAUUUGUACUCAAUAUUAAUAUGUACAAAUUGCCUCAGAGAGUACUUUGAUUGAAUUCAAAUUUAAAGAUGUUGCAACGUAUUCAAAUGUUUAAAGUUAUGGAAAAUAUUUAGACUCCUGAAGAGCCUACAAAGAAUAACAUAUGCAAUUAUUCUUAAAAUAUACAAAAAUAUAUAUGAAUGAUUGACUAUACCAUAUAAAGUUUCAAUACUCUUAUCAUUAUAAAUCUGAGUUUUUAUUUAUUUAUUUAUAUAUAUUGAAAAACCUAUGAAAUUAUUCAAGUCAUUGUAUGCAGUAAAAUAUUUAUAAAAAUAGCCUAGAUAUUGUUGUAUUAUUCUGACCUCAAUAGGGAUUAAAUAAAUGAAGACAUGCAUACAUCCUCCAAUGAUAGGGGUGGGCAUCAAUCCGGCCGAUCCGGUCAAUCCGGCCGAACCGAUUAUAUUGGAUUGGUUUGGUUUGGUUUUGACCAAAGAAAAAGUCAACAUUUUGAAAAACCGAACCGAACCGGUUUGGUUUGGUUCAGCUGUGGUUUGAGAGUUUUAAAAACUGUCAUAAACCGAACCGGACCGAUUAUAAAUUAAUUUAUUAUUUAUUUAAUUUAGUUUACAUGUGGCAAGGUUUGUGUGCGUUUUGUGAGUCCGCGUAUCUGAAUGUUGGUGCACGUUUUGAUCUUCUAAUUUGCAUAUCCCAGUUAUUUGUGUGUGCUUGUAUUUCCCUCUCUUUCUAUCUCUACUAUGUGUGUUUGCUCUUUGUGUUGUGUGGCUCUUCUUACUCUAUCUAUCUUAAUUAAUGGGUCCAUUUCAUAAUUUUAUACGCAUUCAAACUCCACCUCUGUGAUAAAAGUAUUUACCUCUCUGUGAUAAAAGCUUUUCAUUUGUUUGUAUUGUGAUGAAUGCAAUGAGUAAAUUUAAUGCAAAUUUUGUAUAUGUUUGUUUUGAUGAAAAUUGUGAACUUAGAUGCAUGCUAGACAUUGGACAACCUUUGAAUAAAUGGAAUGAUGUUGUAUUAGCCUUUGAUGGAAUGGAAUGGAAUGAUAUAAUGGCAAAAUGUUAGCAUUAUAAUGUAAGAGCAGGUUGAAAAAUGCAUGGUUUUGUGUUAGGCACAAACCGGCCGAACCAAUCCGAACCAAACCGAUUACAAGUGGUUUGGAUUGGUUCGGUUUUCAUUAUGAUUUUAGGCUAAUCCGAACCAAACCGGACCGUUAUUUUCUUAUUGGUUCAGCUGUGGUUUGAGAGUAAAAUCGAACCAAUCCGGACCGUGCCCACCCCUAUCCAAUGAUGCUACAAGAGCAAGUUUUAUACAGGCAUUACAAAAGCUCAAUCUGUGAAGGACGAAUGUGAUAGCAAUAUUAGACCAUCAAAUAAUCCAUGUAUGGAGUUAUCAAGGAGAGUAGUUCUUUAGGGGGAGCAUCCAACAAUGUUGUAAUAUUGAUUCACAAAAGUAGUACCAAUUAUGACAUUCAUAGAAAGUAAACAAUACGGCUUAAAAAUAUUUUUGCUAAGCAUUAAGGAGAGCAUGCAGUCAAUAAAGAUAAUGUCGCAUGUGUGUCAGGGUUAUACACAGUUUUAUGUUACACAUGGUUAUGUACUUUUUUUUUCAUUUCGACCAGUUUUUGUCUCACUGGGUUUGACUGGCAAGGUUUUUAAUGAAGUAUAGUCCAUGCAUGGUAAACAUCCAGGAGAGUUGUAAAUCCAUGAUAAGAUGGAUGCCCACCAUAUCUACAUACGCCAUGUAAUACCUACCUCUCCCAUUACACCUUUGUGAUGUAAUUGAAACCUACCACUUAGAACAUCCACAAUAGGCUCCCUAAAUCACCUCCUUAGACAAAUUUUAGGAAGGAAUCGUAAAAACGCAACUCCAACCACGCUCCCCAUCCACCUCCUAAAAUAGGAAGUCCUCUAGGAACUCCUAAAUCUGAGGAGAGAGAAAAGACUCUUAGUGACUCCCUAUAAUUUAAUGCUGCUUUAUUUAAUGAGUAUUUCAAACCUUUAUUUAAUUCUAAUUAUUUUUUAUUUUAUUUUUUAAUAGAGAUGGGUCAAUCAAAAAAGAGUUAUAGCAUUUAUGACUCUCCAAAUUAAGGAGUAUGGUUGGAGUUGAAAUUUUUUAGAGAACUCCUAAAAUAGCUUUCUUAUAUUUUUAGCUAAAUUUUAGCUAAGAAAUGAGAACAUCAUUGUGGAUACUCUUACGUAGUAAACUAUGUAUUUCCUAUGCCUAUAAAUAGACACCAAAGAUAGAUGAAAAAUACACAAGACUAGAUGAGUGAAAACUCAUGAUUAAUCUCUUGAGAAAUGUUCAUCCAAAUUUCUCUCCAAAAUCCUCUUAAUUCUAUAACAUUUUUAAAAUUUUAGUUUGGUCCUCAUGAUUUUCAUCAAAAUAUGACAAGGCGCUCUUUCCCUGAACCCACCCCGACAGCUCCACCAGGAUCGUAUCUACGAAAUACAUUCACCCUCACCCGAACUUCUUCCCAGUUCACCUUAGACAUAAGCAGUUUCGAAAGAGUUCGACAACAUGGGUUAAAGUCAAACACAAAACAUCAGCCCAUGUGGAACGGUCUAUAAAAAAAAUGAUACAGUUGAGUUCCAAGGUGAGUCGUCCUUUUUGGGGGUAACGCGAAAAUUGGACCAUUGUUCCAAAGAGCACUAGCAUAAUUAGGCCUUGCCAAAAUACAUUUACAGGGUAACAGAUCAAACUAAAUAACCAAUAGUUUUAUACAGACUCUUCAUAAACAUCAAGACCCAUCUUAUAUUACAACAGAGCCAAGGCUUUAAACAUAUACAUACCUUUUCUCCAGUUUGACACACUUUCGUGAUGUUCCAUCAAACCUCUAGCAGCGACAUUAGCAAUGAGAUGAUCACCAACAAAAGCACAUAUCCUAUAUACAAUACUAAUUGAUCUCAGUUUCUCCAAAAAUUAUCAAAACUCCCUCCUCUUGUUAAUUCUGCUGAAUUUGUGAGCUGUGAUGGCAUUUAGCUCUUCUAUGUACACUUCUUUCAAUGAAGUUUAGGCAAAUGCUGGGAUGCUGGAAUUUUGGCGAUCCCUAUUGAGACAAUCAAAUCCCUCUACUCUAACUGCAGCAGGUUUAAGUCCGUACUUCAUUCUAACACAACCUGCUUUGCGUGGGGACGAUAAAGUAGAUGGGGAUGGAGAUGCCGAAACAGGAGUAAACUUCUCAUCUCCGAAUCGGGCAUCUUGAAUUAAUGGGUUAGAAGCCCUACUGGGAGGGGAGCCACAAAAAUAUGGGGGUGAGGAGGCAACAUCGUUCAAAGAUUGUUCCAAUCCAUAGCCCUCCUGUAGACACCAACAUGUUAGUCAAUCAAAAUACCAUACAUCCAAUACAAAACCAUAACAUUACAGAAUCAAUCUAAACAAUCACAUCUAUAAUAUUUUGAAAAUUGGAAAAUGACACAUUGUUGAAAGCAUAAUUUAUGUCUAUCCUAUAAAAGAUUAAUUUGUUUAAAGUUUAAACUUAAGAUAAAGUUCCCAUGAAAGAAUUCUCCAAAGAACAGACAGGCAGCAAAAGAUUAAGUCAAGGGAUCACCAUGGUUGCUGCAUUGGAAAAAAAUAAAAAACAUUGUUUUGCAACAGAUAUGAUACACAUUUUAUUUUAUAAGGGAAAGAAAAAAACACAAAGAUUAAAUCAAUUGCAGCUCCAAUUAAUUGCCUCUGCGCAUUAACUGCAGCCAGAUUAUCAUCAACAUAAUAUCAAUUAAUCAUAAGGAAACGAAAUAACAAUUUACCUUCCUGAGAAUGAGGUCCAGAAGCUCUGCCCCAGCUUUUGAGUCACUAAACUCAGAUUGAUGACUGCUGAUUACAAAAGAAAAUUGUUAUCAGCUAAAAACAAGCAGAAAAGUAAAAUAAGGUGGGAAGGACAGCAUCGGUUAAAAGAGGUACCUCAUCUGCCAUCUCAAGGGCCUAAUGGGGCUGUUGGACAAAAUCCCAACUCGCCUAGGCUUGGGGCACACCACAGGGUCCUUGGUAUCAGAGAUAAAGGCAGACCCUCUGACGUCUUCACAGCCCACAUAAGAGGCGUUCUGGUGCUGAACAUUGAAAUGGUUCAUUUUCGAAACCGUUUCUGUUCCACAAAAGAACGCCUGUCCAUAUUACAGACAACACCAUCAGAAAAGAAAACAAAAAGCAGAUAAACUUCCCCAGAAAUAUUCCAAAUCCAUAGAAAAUCUUAAAAUAUUGUUUCACAGAGUUGAUCUCCAUUUAGUUGCAAAAUAAAAAUGACCAAAAUAAUGAAUCCGAGUCAGACACGCAACAUGUUCUAUACAAAUGAGCAUAGAAUUUCAUGAAACCAAAAUAACUUGGAAAGAAACACGCACAAAAACAAAACCCGUAAACUUUAUCCCCUAUUGGUUUGAUUUAUUCUUCUAUUUUCUAGCCAAUCAAACAGAAAGACAGAAGAUGCGGUCGAUUUCACAACAGAUCUAAGUCACACCUUCGAAAAAUCGGAGCUUUCCUCCGUCACAUACACCAACUUCAAAACAACACCACCCAAAAAGCCGUAAUGGUUCACAUCAAAACCUAAGCUGAGACGGCUUCGACACCAUUUGGAAGUCGCCCAAAAUCGCAGAAGAAGUGGGGGUUUUAAAUUGGUUUUAGCAAAUAGUAAAUACAGCUCAAACUGAUUUUACACAACAAAAUUUGACCACAAAACUUAGCCUUCACAAAAAUUACGAAAGGUAAUAUAGAAAAUGAAUAAAUAAAUUACAACGACGAACAUUUGACUCGGAUCUGUUACACAACAGUUUCCGGGAAAUAGACUAAAAAUAGGAAAUUAAUAACAUCCAAAUAUUCAAAGCAAUAGAUCUAAAACAAACAGAAGCAAAGCUACUAUGAUUUUUGCAGAGAGAGAGAGAGAGAUACCUGAAGAGAAUCCUCCGUAGGAAGAAGGAAGAACGCAAAGGGAGGUCAGAGCCACAAGGAAGAAGCGAAGAAAAGGGAUCUGGAAUUCAUUUUAUACUGGUGAAAGUAGAGUCUUGCCAAGGCUGACACCACGCCAUUUAAUCCACGUGAUUUUUUAUCUGAAUCCGCGUGAAUUUGUUGUGAAACACUGAAAAUGGAUUUUGGUUUCACGUAUUUGUGACUGCUGGAAAGAGUCAAAUUUUUGUCUAUUUUUUCUUAAUUCUUUUUUGUGCCAAACUUCUUAAUUCUAAUUUGGGUUAACGACAUUUUACUCCCUACAUGUUCGGGAUCAUUAUCAAAAUAGGCCACGAGGUUUCAAUUUCAUGAAUAUCAAAUUCAACGUUUUUAAAUAUGACUAAAUUACACUUUUCAUCAACUUAAUCGUUUAAUUUUUUGUAGGCUUAAAUACUAAAAUGGUCUUUGUGUUUUAUUAUGUUGGCCAAUUUAGCCCCUGUUUUUUCAAUUUAACUAAUUUGGUUCAUGUGUUUAGCACCGUUAGCCAAUGUGAUCCAAUUCGUUACACUUUUGUUAAAAUAUUAAUUAAAAAUAAAUAAAUAUUUUGAAUUCAAUUUUAAAAAUAAAUAAUCAAGAAAUAAAAAUAAGAUUUAAAAGCUAAAAGAAAUAAAAAUAUGAUUAAUCUUAACCGCAACACCCUUCUCUCUUUUCUUUGUCCCCCCAACAACCAUUGGUAGACCCACAGAGGAUUAAGGAGGUGCAGCUGCACCUCCCCUAACCGAAAAAUGCAUUGAAGAUGCUGGAAUUUUGCCCCUUUAUUUGUGCCUACCAAGUGUUCAAUUAAAUGCCACAAACAAGCUUUUGUGUUGCUAUUGUGUGAGACCCUAAAUAUUUACCUUAGAUUGUUGGGCUUGAUAUCACGAUCAUGUAGGAGAAUCGAUUCAUCAAUUAGAGAAUGUUUGUAGUUACAAUCCCAUGCUUCUCAACUUUAAUUCCUUUUCAAAAUGGGCCACUAGCAAGGCGCCAUAUGUCAAAUUUUAACUAGACCAACUUCAAAAAUUCUUUAAAAAUUCAUAUGUGCUCCGAAAAAAUCACCGAAAAUUACCCCGAACUUGUAAUCACAUGUACUUUUAUCUCAUGACCUCCAAAUCACAUGUAAUUUUGGUUAGAUUAAUUUUUAUUGAUUUUGGUUAGAUUCAUGGAUGAUUUCAUAUGAAUUUUGGUAAACUAAUUGUGUAAUUGACAUGGAUUUUGUUCAUAUUUGAUAUGAAUUUUGGUAAACUAAUUGUGUAAUUGACAUGGAUUUUGUUCAUAUUUGAUAUGAAUUUUGGUAAACUAAUUGUGUAACAUAAAUUUUGUGCAUAUUAGUUUAUAUACAAAAUAGAAUGUAGUCAGUUAGCCUUAGACAUAAACUCUUAUUUAUUUUAAUUAUGAAUAACAUUAGUAUUAUUUAAUUUGUAAGGGUAUUUGGUUGUCUAAUUUUUUUUUCCCCCUUUUAGUCUUUUUAAUAUUGCCCCACUCUUGAAAAAUUCAUGGAUCCACCACUGUACCACCCCAACUACUAUCCCCACGCACACCCAAAAGCCCUAACUUCUCCAACCACAACCACACCACACUCGAAAUCUAAUCCACCCCACCCCAACUACUAAUCCACCCUACCUCUCACCCAGAUCUAAUCCACCCCAACCCAACAAUUCCCUCGCCAUUCUUUUAUCCCAGUUGCGCCGCCUAAAUCUUCCCAGCGCACUCUGCCACGCGGUCGUCACCCUACUCCCUCAUGCCCAUCUUGGUUUUCUUUUUCCUUUUUUCUAAUGAAGUUGCAAUUUUUUUUUUUUUUUGGAAUGAAUUCAAUUUUUAUAAAUUAAUUUUAGGUUUUCAAGAGAAGAAGAAGAUUAUCAUAUUAUUUAAUGGCAAUUUUAACAGAAUGGACUACAUUGACUAACAAUGCAAAACACACAGACCAAAUUGGCCAAAUUGAAAAUGCAUGUAUUAAACUGGCCAACGUGAUAAAGCACAAAGACUAUUUUAGCAUUUAAACCUUAUUUGUUAAAUUAAUGACGUGGAGAAUGAGUUCUAUUAAACUAGUGACAUGGCAAUUAAGAUACCCACUUUAAUACUGAUGUGUAAAAAAACAAAUUUAAAUAUUUAAAUAUUUCCCCCCAACAACCUAGCAAAACGAGGAGGGUGAUACUGAUCCAAUAUGAUGCAGUAGCAUCAACCUCCGUCAGUACGAUCAUUUGUCCUUAAAGGGUUGCUUUUGCCGGAUUGAUGGUGGUUACCGUGUAUGUCACGCUUGCCACUACUGAAGGUAUGCUAGUAGCCAUCCUUCCUCUUGGGGUGCUGGGUACCCUGGUUAUCUGGAGCGGGAGCAGAAUGCUGAUGUGUGGCUGGGGUGGGUGCCGAAGCAGAUGGGGGAUCACCAAAAGUGUUACGUGCCGAGGUGAUUGGGCCACGUUUUGGAGUUAAAGUACUCAGUCUUAGCAUGGAUCGCGACCUACUUCAUGAGUUUGGCAUAAGUGUUCCAUGGGUUGCUGUGGACCAAGUAGCGGAAGUUGGAUUCGCGGAGACUACUCUUGAAAGCUCUGAAGGCAGCUCGAUCGUUGGUAUCCGGGCAACGAGAGUACUCGUGGCUGAAGCAGGCUGCAUACUCCCAAAGAGGUUCGUCCUCACCAUGCCGAAGCAUAUACAAGUCAUCCACGGAGUACAAGGGAUCGGUUUGGAUGAUAAAGUAGUCGAGAAAGGUAUUCUUCAGACUGUCAAAGGAGUUGAUAGUACGGGGGUUCAGCCGAUAGAACCAGUUCAGAGCAGCGCCACUGAGGGUAGAAGGGAAAAUGAGAUACAUGACUUUGUCACUGAGGCCCUUACAUUCGAAGGCAAACUAAAAAGAAUGGAUAUGGGUGAGAGGAUCCUCCGUGCCAGUGUAGAACGCUAUGCGGAGCGGCUGAAUGUCCUUAUCCUGGUGAUAAUUGAGGAUACGUUCAAUAAAGGGCCCAGGGCAUGGCUUCACCCAGAGGGGUUGCUGGCUGCGGUGCUGCUCACUCUCAAGACAUCCGACCUUCUCCAAGAGAAGCCUCAUGACCGGGUUGGCAUAAGGGAGAAUGCUGAGUGCUGAAGGCUUGAGGUGUGGAUGGGCAGGGAUUGGGUAAACUUCUCACUCUUCAAACACUUCAGUAUGGUAAGACUCUCAGUCAGUCAUCUGGACGAUAAGGUUCCUAGUCAUCCGAAUCCCCUGCACCUUCUCUGGCGGGUAAUUUGGUGGGCUUCGGUGGGGGUCGUAGGUGUGUCACCCAUGGGUCAUUGAGGUCAACAGGAAUAUGGAUAGGAUUUGGCUGAAGGUCCGAGAAACGGUCCCUACAAUCCCAUAGAUCUUUGUCGGUUCAUGGGGCCAGUCUUUUGGUGGGGAGAUGCAAAGGAGCCGCGACUUGGUCGUCUCCGGAUGAAGGUGGCAUUUACUCUUGCCUAGCCCAGACUGGAUUGAGGUGCUGUGACUAGAUAUCACUGGUUGGUUCGGCUGGGAAUGCUUAAUAUCCUGGGUAAUGUCCUGUUGGGCGCCCUAGGGGUAGGUCCUCUCCCAGUUAUGCUUCAGGGUGCCACAAUCAUGCCCCAGUUCGACGUUCUUGGUAUGAAGAUGUUCGUAUUUCUCCAACAUUUUGGCAACACUGGUAUGGAGGCGCUCUACUUUUGCCUAGAGAUUGAUCUCCGUCGAAGGUUUCUUUAGGGAGGUAUCCCCGCGAAGGGUAUGGUGCUGGGUAUUGUGGCUGGUCUCACUCGGCAUAGCAGGGGUGAAGAAGAGGCGACAUGGCCUGAUGGGGGAGGGAGCCAACGGGGCUGGUAGAGGGAAAUGAGAUUCCGAAGUCGAUUCCCAUAGAUGACGCCAAACUGUUGAUGCUCUUUUUAGGAGGGUCAACUUAGAGAAGGGCAGGAUCUUUAGUAAGGGAGAAGGUGAAGACCUUCGGAGUUGGAAGAACCUACAGAAGACAAGGAGGAAAAAGCAGUCGUCAAGCUUCGGACACCAGUGUGGUGUCCGCCGAAGGCUCUCCGAUGCUUAAGUAAGUUAUAUGUGAUAAUUUUGACAAAGUAACAGUAAAUGUGAGAAAUUAGUUACCCUUUUUACUCGGGUACUGUUCCUUAUUUAUAGGGAAGUGAAAAUGAGAGUUUUGCACAAAGUUUCAAAGUAGGACUUUGUGCAAGUUGCUGUGGUAGUGACAUGUGUCCUUGGAGGUUAGGUUUGGCAGUUGGAAGAUUUGGCAGUCGGGAGUUUCGGCAGAUGUCUGCCGCUCCGGAAGAGUGUCUUCCUUCGACAUUUCGGAAGGUGAUGACGUCUGUCACUUUCUCGGGAUUUGUCUGUGUGUCCCUUUGGGGUAUUUCAGCAAGGAAGAAGGCCUGUCUGCCUUGAUGCUAGUCUCUUUGGCAUUGGAUAUGCUCUGUUGAUUAUGGUGUAAACACAUAGUAUUAUUAUAUUACAACUUCUAGAGCACACAAGUUUGACUUCUAGAGCGUACAAGUUUGACUAAGUCUUGCCCAUAUUAGAUAAUAUAGAUAAUACAACAAUAGAAGAAGUUGAUAGGGGACUUGAUUCUGUGUCCAUAGAAGACAUAAAUAGACCCAAUCAAAAAAGAAAAAACGGAUACAAAUAGUUAACAUGUGUUAUUGUUGUUCUUGAACUCUAGCCAUGUUUACAGACCAUGAGUAGAUUAUGGAUUGUAUUGGAUUGGAAAGGAUAAAUAUCAUUUAUUAGCUCCCGUAUCUUGAGUUUGAGAUUAGGAGAUUGGAGUAAUGGGAUUAUGUAUGCCACCUUUUUGGUAGAUUAUCCUACAAAAAUGCACAUAAUAUGAUUACGGUGAGAUUAUCCUUUAUCUUAUCAACAUUCAUUUUCACCAACCCACCAAAUAAGGCAUCUAGAAUUUUCUUCCUUUUCUUCUUUAACUAGGAUACCAUGUAACCCUAUGUGGCCUAUUUCUGGCCUUUUAUGCCGAAAUUUCUUUGGCAUUUUGUGAUCUAUAUAUGGAUUAACCCUAUAUUGUUACUAUGUUUCUAUAUUUGUAUUACCCAUUUGUGGGCAUUUAUAUUUGCCUUAGUGACCGAUAGUCUUUGUACCUAAUGUAUGAAUACAAUUACUGCUUUUUUCUCAACAACAAAAAAUAAAAUAAAAUAAAAUGGAUACCACAUAACAUAAUUUGUUAUUGUUAAUGAACCGUUUCAAUUGUAUGGCUCAAAUUGUCAAUUUCUCGUACUUUUUUUUUGUGUUGGAAAUCAAUUACUCGUACUUAGACCAAAUGGUCGACGCCUUUGAAAAUUACAAUCUGACGUACCAAACCUUCCCACUGAUAAUAACACGGCCAAUUUGGUCCCAUUAUUUAUUAUUUAUUAUUUAUUGUUGAAUAUUUCAGAUAAAGCACUCCCAAUCAGAUCGGAUCUCCAACUCUGCAGCCAACACGUGCUCUUUUAUUUUUUUUUAUUUUUUUGCUAAGUCAGAUUCUCAUUUGGUUAGGAUUUCUUUUCGGGCCCUCUAUUUUAUUUAUCUUUCUUUAUUUUAUUAUUUGAUUCAGAAAAACAAAACCAACAUGGCGUUGAAACUGGCAAAGCCUUACAGGCGCCACCCUUUUCCACUCGACGGUACUUGAGUUAGCUUAGAACACUAUCUCAUUCUGAUAUUGGUCUUUUUGGUUUUCUGUCUUUCUGGUUUUUCACCUUUAAAAGAAACUCUGUUCGAAACGUUUCAGAGCAGUUGAGGGCCAAGUUUUGUUUCCUAACAAAGAGAAAAAAGAGCAUAGAAGCAAUGGCGCCCAAAAAGAGGCUGCAAGGUGUUGAUGACAAAUUGCAGAAGCUUCUGGAUGCUAACAUGGAUGAAGCUCGUGCCAGAAGGCGGGCUCGUGAGGCCUUCAAGGAAAUUCAGCUGGGGAUUGACCAUAUUUUGUUCAAGGUAUUGUUUUCAUAUGUUCCAUUUGAAUUUGAAUUUUUUGUUUUUGUUUUUUGUUUUUGGGAACGUGAACUUUUGGGUUGUUUAUGGUUCCAGCGAGUUGUAAUUUGAGAGAUUGCAAUUGGGUUUUGUAGUGGGUUGAUGAUUAUUGGCACUGAAACUUUUUAAUGGGUUAAUGGGAAUCGGUGGUUAGUUGAGGAAUGAACUAUUUUUCACGUUGAAUUUUCAUUGACAUAACUUUUUUUAUUAUUAUUAUUUUUUAAAGAUUUGCUUCUGAACUGAUUUUAUGCAUUUUUACAGUCCACACAGCCACACACAUAUAUUCAAAUUGGCUAUGCAUACUAUUUUUCUUUGGUUUUUGGUCAUCUUUCUGAGAUAGUAGUUCAAGAUGUUAUACAAUAUUCAUUCUUGCUGUCUUUUAAUUACACUCUUGGAAUAUUUUCUCAGUAAUAUUUAUUGUUUUAUGUUUGGUUGUGUUGCAGACACCCACUGAUGGAUUGAAAAUAGAGGAGGUAAAAACUCUUUAUUACAGCAAUCAACUUACAUUUUGUUUUUUAUUGGUACAAACGGCUUUUGGGUGCGAGAAAUGCAGUGGAGUGAUAUGCCAGUCAAGGAAUUAUAUGCCUAUGCUGUGUGUGUGUGUGUGUGUGUGUGUGUGUCAUUUCUUUGUAUUUUAAUUUUUAAUAUUUUGUGCAAACCUGUACGCCAUUCUUAUCUGCAAUUUUUUUUUUCUCAUCUAUCUUAUAUUGGUUCAAGAUAGUAUUCUAGCAUCCAACCCAAAACCAGUUCAUAAUGGGUAGAUACCAAGAUCUUGUAUACUAUGGUUCAAAGCUUGACAUUCCUAAUGUGGGAUGUAUACUCUCGACAUGCCCCCUCAUGUCUGGCGUGGUCCAACAUGUGAAAAAACUUAUAUUAGGUGACGUGGGAGCACAUGUGGUAAUCAGGGACUGACACGUGGAUGAACUCUAACACUGAUAAAAUUAGACUAUGCAGUAUUUAUACUCUCACCAGGUCCAGUAUGAGAAGGUUUGUUGAUCAGUCAUACAUUGAUCUAUACCCAUGGGCAGCUUGAGAGUUACUAACACUUCUCCUCUGAAUUCAGUUGUGGCCAUUUUUAACUAUACUUGUAAGUGGUAUUGUUUCUGCAAAAUUAGCUGUCAUGUAUCAUGCUAGGUUAAGGUGUUCAUAAGCAUUGGUGCUCGCUUGUUAGAUUUCCAAAGUUUCUGCUCACUACUUUUAAUAUGAACAUGGUCUUGGC
rnacentral:lncRNA from 1 species